rnacentral:lncRNA from 1 species
AAAUCCAUGAUUUUAUUUUUAUUCAUUUGCAAAUGUAAGGAAAUACAAUAUUCACUCUUCAAUCAAAAGCUCCCAUUACAAGCCAACAUAGCGUUUCGGAAGUUAAAAAAAAAAAAGGAAUGAAAACCACACAAUUUUUUAUGCCAAAGAUGACAUAGAGUUUUGAUCAAGAUAACUUAGAAAAUCAUUGAAGCAGCAGAAGAAUUUAGUUGUAGGCAUCCUGAUGCUCCAAGAGGUAGUUCUCAAUCAACUUAAAGAGGUGGGAGGCCUUCUCUUUGCCAGCCUUAACAUGCUCUUCCUUGAUCUCAACAUCACCUUUGGUGUGGUAGUGGCUGGUGCUCUUGAUGACGGAACCGCUGCUGGCAGCAACCAACUUAGUCUCAUAAGAGAUCUUCUCAAUUGUCUCAGAGAUAGCAUCUCCUUCGAUCACACUGUACUUGUAGACAAAGUUGUCCUUGUCAACCCCAUCAAUUCUGUGCUUCACAUAGCUGUAUGUGCUACCUUCACCGAAGUUGAUCUUCUUAAUGGUUCCAACUCCUCCAUCUCCUUCAAGGAUUUCAGCGCUCUUCACUGCUUGUGGUGCAAUCUUGGGGAUGAGGUUGUCAGCAUCAAGAACAAAGGCAUUGAACAACCUAGCAGGGGGGAUGACAGAGGUGAACUCGGAUUCGUAUGUGAAAACACCCAUGAUUCUGAGAAGUGUUUGGAAAGUAAGAAAAUAAAAAUUGAUGAAUAGGAAGAUGAUGUAAUGGGAGGUUUUGAGUUGUGAAGAAGUGAGGGAGCAGGUAUGGUAUUUAUAGGGUGAGGCUGAAGGUUGAUCAAAACGUUUUAUUAUGCAAGUUCCUGCUUGGUUCUAUGCAUUUACGUGGGAACCAUUACUUUUUCUACAUGAAAUUUUGUAUUUUAGUCAAGGGGAAGGGAAGGACCAUCUGGAUAUUGAAAAAGAAAAUACCCAAUUAAUCACGAGGUCGAGUAACCUCAAUUAUUUUCCCGUCUGCACAAUGAGAUUCCAUUUGAUAAUAAACAAUAGUAUGAACAUGCACGAACCGUGUGGGACUCCUAAUAAUUCAAUUUUCGUUGUCCACUACUGUACAGGUUAAUGUUUUGAGUCAUUUCCAUUUGGCUGUGUGCUUAAAUAGGUUAAAAUGGACGAGGACUGUGCAUUGGGAUAACAGUUGAAAUUAUUUUGAGGCAUUUCCAUUAGGAGAUGUGAUAACCUACAGGAAAACGGAGGGCAACCAAUGUUGACAAAUUGCAACUAGCCAAUGUUGAAUGCAAGUCAAGUCCCCCUACUUUGAACUUCUGGAGUUUGACCAAAAAAAGAAAUUGAACUUCUGGAAGUGUAUACUAACUAAUUAACCUCCGUAAAAUUUAUUGGAAAGGUUAACUACUUGGUUCAUUUUUAUGUUAGGGUGUUUUUGAUAUAGUCUGUAUUAAGGUUUUCUAGUAGGAUAAGAAUUAUGAUUACUUUCCCAUCUGUAAUCAAGGUUUAAGAUUGCUUUAUUAUUUGUUUUAGAAGCUUAUGUUUCUGGGUUCAAUGAGACUUUGAAAGUUUUAAGUGUCAUUCAAUAAAUGUUAGCCUGGUAUCAUUUUUUUUUGGGUUUUUAUUACAAUUUGUCUAUUAAAUGGUUAAUUAGUUUUAGGCUGGUAUCAAUUUUUUUUUGGGUUUUUAUUACAAAUGGUCCCUGAAAUCGGCCUAACUCAUCAUAUUGGUCAUUCAAUUUGAAAAUCAAUCAAUGUCUUUCCUGAAAUUAACUACCGCAAAUCAACUUGGUCCAUGCCGUUUAAUCUGUAAAGUUUUCUAUUAGUUUGCUGACAGAGCAUACAAGUAGAGCCCCCAUGUCUAAUUAAGUAGUGCCAUGUGGAAAAAUCUAUAAAACCAUAAAAAGACAAUUUAAAAACCCAUAAAAAAAACUACCCAAAACUAAAAAAGAAAAAAAAAAGAAAAAAAAGAAAAAGAAGAUGAAGCAGGCAACAUCAUCGUCUUCCUAAGAUCCCACAACCCAGCCACCACUUAUGCUAGAUCCCAACCAGCAACCACUCCUUCUAAAUCCCAACCACCAGCCACAACCCCUUGAUUCUUUGGCUCCGUUCGUUGAGCAGUUGGCUCGACCAGCCACCCAUUCUCCCUCCGCAUAUCCUUCCAUCGACCAGGCAACGGCGUAGCCCGUGUGCUGAUGCGACGCGUCUUCUAUCCGUCGAUCUACUUAUAACGCCGCUUGCAAUUUCGUUCUCUUUCUGCAACACCCACGUUGCUCCUCUUGAACCCAUAUUCUUGCUUUCUCCACUCUUUUACAGCAACACACACUCUCACACUGAGUUCUUGGAAGGGCUCUGCAACUACGUUGCCAGAAUGAGGAGCAAAAGACGCCUCUCAGACUGAAUUUUUUUUAGUUAUUUUAUUUGGCUAAAUAAUAAUACAUGGCACUAAAUCAUUGGUUGUGUUGGCCACAUGUGUGCUACGUCAGCAAACUAACGGAAAACUUGACGGAAUUAAACGGCAAGGACCAAGUUGAUUUGUGGUAGGCAAUUUCAGAAACUACAUUGAUUGAUUUUCAAUUUCAGAGACCAUCUUGAUGACGAGGGUUAAUUUCAAAGAUCAUUUGUGUUAAAAACCUUCUUUUUUUUCUGUCAAUAGAUUUGGUCGUACCACACCUUUGCUUUUGUCACAAAAAUGCAUUCUUUUUUACUUUAGAAUUCCAUUUUUAAUGAGAUCUACAGAUAUGAAGAAUUUUAUUGACAUUAACGUGGGCAUAGUCAUAUCUAUUAAUGUUGAUGUGCUCACUUCUAUGCAUUCGAGGUCAACUAAUUUAGGUCUACUACAAUUUUUUUAAUGGAACGACAUAUUUCAUUCGUGAAGGAGCAAAUACAUACAAUAUUUACAUAAACCAAGAACAUGACCCAAAAUGGGGUACUAACAAAGAUCUGAAAAUAUAUAUACAAAAGAAUAAUCUCAUCAUAUGUUGCAAGACAAUGCUGGAAGAGACAAAGAAUUCAUAGAAACCAGUGCAUGCAAGGUCCUGCCAACUUAGUUAGAAAACUAAAAGCAUUAACAUUAUUCAUUAGUAGUUGGGUCAACUAAUGCAAGAAGACCGUACGACACACACACACACAUAUAUAUAUGUGUGUGUAUUCAUUUGUCACACCAUGAUAAUUGUAAAAUGUUGUAUAGUUUAUGUCAACUCGUGUAGUUAGAAAAUAUGAUGCUUUAAAUUGAUCGCGUAUUAGGUGAUAAAUAAGAUUGAUGUUUUGUUUUCUUAAAUUAGUUAUUUGUGAUCUUUUGGUGUGAUUGACAUAACUUGUCAUGUAGAAUAAUAGAAGGCAAGUUAGAAAAAUGAAAAUUGAACAUUAUUUGUUAACACGGUGAAACUUGAAAAUAUAUCAUCAAAUAUGAUGUUCUUCUUAUUUAUUUGUAAAUCAAAGGAAAUACAAUAUUCACUCUUCACUCAGAAGCUCCAAUUACAAGCCAAAACACUGUUUCAAAACUUAAAAGAAAAAGGGAAUGAAAACCACACCGGUACAUUGGAUGAUGCCAAAGAUCACACAACUACUUAUUGGUACUUUUUGCGGCAGCAUGUAAUAUUAAUUUAGUUGUAGGCAUCCUGAUUCUCCAAGAGGUAGUUCUCAAUCAACUUGAAGAGGUGGGAGGCCUUCUCUUUGCCAGCCUUAACGUGCUCUUCCUUGAUCUCAACAUCACCCUUGGUAUGGUAGUGGCUGGUGCUCUUAAUGACAGAACCGCUGCCGGAAGCAACCAACUUAGUCUCAUAAGAGAUCUUCUCUAUUGUCUCAGAGAUAGCAUCUCCUUCGAUCACACUGUACUUGUAGACAAAGUUGUCCUUGUCAACCCCAUCAAUUCUGUGCUUCACGUAGCUGUAUGUGCUACCUUCACCGAAGUUGAUCUUCUUAAUAGUUCCAACUCCGCCAUCUCCUUCAAGGAUCUCAGCGCUCUUCACUGCUUGUGGUGCAAUCUUGGGGAUGAGGUUGUCAGCAUCAAGAACAAAGGCAUUGAACAACCUAGCAGGGGGGAUGAUAGAGGUGAACUCGGAUUCGUAUGUGAAAACACCCAUGAUUCUGAGAAGUGUUUGGAAAGUAGGAAAAUAGGAAAUUGAUGAAGAGGAAGAUGAUGUAAUGGGAGGUUUUGAGUUGUGAAGAAGUGUGGGAGGAGGUAUGGUAUUUAUAGAGUGAGGCUGAAGGUUGAUCAAAAGGUUUUAUUAUGCAAGUUCCUGGUUGGUUCUAUUUCAUUAACGUGGGAACCAUUACUUUUCCGACAUGGAAUUUUGUAUUUUAGUUAAGGGGAAGGGAACGACCAACAGGAUAUUGAAUAAGAAAUUACCCAAUUAAUCACGAGGUCGACUAACCUCAAUUAUUUACAUUGGUUUGCACUAUUAGAUUCCAUUUGAUGAUAAACAAUAGUAUGAAUGAAUCAUGUGGAACUUCUAAUAAUUCAAUUUUUGUUGUCUACUACUGUAUAGUUGAAUAUUAUGAGUCAUUUCCAUUUGGCUGUGUGCUUAAAUUGGUUAAAAUGGACGAGGACUGUGCAUUGGUAUAACAGCAGGAAUUAUUUUGAGCCAUUUCCAUUUGGAGAUGUGAAAGCCUAAACCAUAAAGGUGGGCAAUUAAUGUCGACAAAUUGCAACUAGCCAAUGUUGAAAUGCAAGUCAAGUCCCCCUAAUUUGAACUUCUGGAGUUUGACCAAAAAGGAUUUUUGAACUUCUGGAAGUGCAUACAUUUGUAAGAUACGUAACAAUACUAUAACUAAUUAACCUCCGUAAAAUUUAUUGGAAAAGUUAACAACUUGGUUCAUUUUUAUGUUAGGGUGUUUUUGAUAUGGUUUGUAUUAAGGUUUACUAGUUGGAUAAGUAUUAUGAUUACUUUCCCAUCUGUAAUCAAGGUUUAAGAUUGGUUUAUUAUUUGUUUUAGUAAAUCAGGUGUUUGUAAGUACAUCUCUUGUAACUUUGUAGGUAUCAAGUCUUAGCAAGAUUGUAAUUUGUUCGUUAUGUAGUAUGCUUGUCAAUUUGUAGUAUUCUUCUUUCUUGUAUGUCUAUGGAAUAACAUUUUGUGUUUUUCAAUAAUUUUUUUUUUGUCCUUUGAUUUGUAUACUAAAUUUCCUAUUGCAUUGAUAUUCCUUUAUGCAAUGUAUGCAACUAUUGUUAAAGAGCCAAUCUCGCGUAAUUCUUUUUCACUGUUAAAAAUAAAUAUAUGUCAACAGCUAAUUACAUGCUUGUGAAGCUUACAAUGUUGCAAUUACUCCUUCAUGAAUACGUACAAGAUUUAUAUAGAUCAAGAACAUGACCCAAGAGGGGUUACUAACAAAGAUCUGAAAGUAUAUGCAAGAGUAAUCGCAUAUGUUACAAGACAAUGCUGAAAGAGAGAAUUCACAAAAACCAAUGCCCUUAGGCUCUAACCAAUCCAGUCAAAUGGUCAUAGGCCAAAAUAUAGUCCGUUUUGACACGAAAGUCGUCUCCAACCGAGAACUAGGCUAAAGAGCUUGUGGGCCUCACUUGACCAAAAAUUAGACACCAGGCCAGGGGCUGGCCAAAAUAAGCCAGCCAACUAGCCCGAUGCAGCAGCCCAAACACCAGACAAGUUCCAUCCUUAAUCACAUGUCGAUUCAAAGAAACAAUAUUGCAGCAGAACCUCUUCUUAAGUGAUGCAUCAACUUAAUUAAUUAAAACAGAUUUAGCAAAAAGUUAAUUAAUUAAUUAUCUCUUCUUUUCGUACACAAAAUAAACACUUUAAUUGCAUAUUUUGCAAGUAAUCCCAUCCCCAGUAUUGCCUAUUAAAAUUUCAUAAUAUUAUAUAUAUAUAUAUAUAUAUAUAUUUUUUUUUUCUUCUUCUUAUAUUAUGUAUUUUUUUAGUAUAUUAUCUUAUGUACUUUUGCAAAAAGAAUUAUACCAUGCAUGUGGACGGACUAAUAAUUAAACCUUAAUUUGGGCUUAAAAAAAUAAUGAUACAACCAGGACGCAUGCAAGAGCCAAAAUAUCGUUGGGGUUGGUUGAUUUAGGUACAACCUUUUUUAUUAUUGGUUGGUUAUUGUUUGGAGGUUCUUUUCGUUAUAGAACAUAUUAAAAAAUAGCAUCCUUCGGUUAGAGAUGAAUUUUUUUGUCAAAUGACUAUGUUUUAGUCUAUAAUCCUUUGAUCCAUUCGGUUAAAGAUAAUAUAAAAUAUGAUCGUUUAUUAAAAAAUAAUUUCUUAUAAAACUAUAAAACAAAAUAUGACCCUUGGCCCUCUCUCCAUUGACGGUGGCCAUCGUGACAACUUGGGUAGUUAGAAAACAAAAGCAUUAAAUUCAUUAGUAGUUGGGUCAACUCAUGCAAAGGGACCGUAUGACAUGUGUAUACAUUCAUCUGUCAUACCAUGAUAACUGUAAAUGUUAUAAUUGUUACGUCAACUCGUGCGGUUAUAAAAUAUGAUGCUUUAAAUUGAUCGCGUAUUAGGUGGUAGAAUAAGAUUCAUUUGUUUUCUUAAAUUAGUUAUUGUGUGAUCUUUCAGUGUAAUUGACAUGACAUGUCACAUAGAAUAAUAGAAGUCAAGAUAGAAAAAUGAAAAAUGAACAUUAUUCAUUACCACGGUGCAUAAAAAGAAAUUUGAAAAUAUAUCAUCAAAUAUGAUUUUCUUCUUAUUUAUUUGUAAAGGAAAGGAAACACAAUAUUCACUCCACUCAGAAGCUCCAAUCACAAGCCAAAACACUGUUUCAAAACUUAAAAGAAAAAGGGAAUGAAAACCACACAUUGUUUGAUGCCACACGAGGACACAACUACUUAAUAAUACUUUUUGUGGUAGCAGGCAAUAUUAAUCUAGUUGUAGGCGUCCUUGUGCUCCAAGAGGUAGUUCUCAAUCAAUUUGAAGAGGUGGGAGGCCUUCUCUUUGCCAGCCUUAACAUGCUCUUCCUUGAUCUCAACGUCACCCUUCGUGUGGUAGUGGCUGGUGCUCUUAAUGACGGAACCGCUGCCGGAAGCCACCAACUUAGUCUCAUAAGAGAUCUUCUCAAUUGUCUCAGAGAUAGCAUCUCCUUCAAUCACACUGUACUUGUAGACAAAGUUUUCCUUGUCAACCCCAUCAAUUCUGUGCUUCACGUAGCUGUAUGUGCUACCUUCACCAAAGUUGAUCUUCUUAAUAGUUCCAACUCCACCAUCUCCUUCAAGGAUCUCAGCGCUCUUCACUGCUUGUGGUGCAAUCUUUGGGAUGAGGUUGUCAGCAUCAAGAACAAAGGCAUUGAACAACCUAGCAGGGGGAAUGACGGAGGUGAACUCAGAUUCGUAUAUGAAAACACCCAUGAUUCUAAGAUGCGUUUGGGAAGUGAGGAAAAACUAAUUGAUAAAGAGGAAGACCGAGGAAGAAAGAUGAUGUAUUGGGAGGUUUUGAGGUGUGAAUAGCUGAAGAGGAGGUAUGGUAUUUAUAGGCCGAGGCUGCCUGAAGGUGGAUGAAUAGGUUUAUGCCAUUUCCUUAUUUUUUAAAUUGGUUCAUUGUGACGUGGGAACCAUUACUUUUCUACAUGGAAUUAAUGUUUGUAUUUUAGUCAAGAGAAGAACCAUCUGCUAAUUGAAUAAAAAAAAUAUAGCCAUUUAAUCCACGAGCUUAAUUAUUUCUAUCCCACUGUUUUAUAUUGAAGUUAUAAUUUUGCAUUUGCAUGCAAUGAGUGCUUCAGAGAUGACCACAUUCUCUGACAUUGUAGCUACUUUUACACUUUCUGUGAAAACCAGAGCAUAGAAAUUGGAAUUCAUUUUAGUAAUCAAGGUUCUAAAAAACGUUAGGCGCUAGUUGGGCGGCGGGUUAGCGCUUAGCGCCUAGGCAGCUAGGCAGGGUUUAGGCGGGUGCCUAGACGGCCUAGGUGGAUUUAGGUAAAUUUCAUGUAUAUCUUGUAAAUAAGUGCUUAUUAACACUUACAAAAAAUUAUACUUGUAUGAAAUCCAUGGAUAAGAUAAUAAAAGAAUGAUAAAAUGCAAAAAGAGUAUCCAACAAGUCCAAAAUUUAAAAACAUAUUAAGCAUAUAUGCCAUAUAAUCAUAGUGAGGAGUAUUGUAAGAUGACACAUGUACAAUAAGUUCACAAUUUAAAACCACAUAAAAUGCAAAAUAGGAGGAAAAUAAGGAAAUAUAGUAAUGUAGAUAGGAUUUUUUUUAUUUUUUAAUUUAAAAAAAUAAAUAAAUAAAAAACCGCCUAGCACCGCCUAGUGCCUAUCCCGCCUAGGGCCGCCUAGAGCCUAACCGAUUUUUCCAAUCAAUUUGCAAAAAAAUACCUCGAGUCACAACCGCCUAGGCCAUUUUUUAGAACAUCGUCAGUAAUUGAUUAAGCUUAUUCCUUUACUAUCUUUUUCAGUCCAAAACUGAUACUUGGGUCUCAAUCAACAAUGACUGCCAUGGGCUAUGAAUUCAAUAAUUCUGAUAAAGUGAACACUUCACAUUCUCUUCCAUUCCAGUUAGCCAUUCUGAUGGUAGAAAUUUCAAUUAAUCUGCCGACCAUCUCACCUUAAUUGAGGCAGGGCUAGCUUAUCCUCUAAUCAUUUCAUAUCGUAUAACAAAAAAUAUCAGACGAGACUACAAAAUAACUUCGUUCUUUGUUGGGUAUUGAGAUUUGAAACCAAGUUGGGCCGUUUUGUUGUCUCCUAUAUUUGUCUAAUUUUGUAUUCACGAUCAACAUGGUCAUUGGCUGUGUAGUUAAUAAUUACGAGGUGAAUUUGGACUUGUUAUAAUUGAACGUUUUGAUAUUGCCCCCAUACAAAAUGAUGGGCAAUCAAUGUUGACCCAAUGCAGCCAUAUGUUGAAAUACAAUUCAAGUAGCCUAAUUUGAACUUCUGGAAGUGCAUACUAGUUGUAAUGUGGUAGGGACAACAAUAUAUGAAGCAGACAGCAAUUUUGUAAAACAAAGGUUUCAUCAAUUGGGCAUUAGACACCAAUUCAUUUUGAAUAAUACUUGGGUACUCACCUUUUAAUUUUGUCCAAUGAUAUUUUGAAAUAUUGUAUUAUUUUUGAUAAAUAAUGGACAUGUUAUUUAAUUUUUUUUUUUGGGCUUUGGAAAAAAGGAACACGUGACAUUUUUUUUUAUUAACCAAGUCAGAAAGUGAGUACAUCAAUACUUACUAGUGAGUAUCUAAGUAUUAUGCAUUCAUUCCAUCCCCAUCAGUGUACUAAUUAACCUCAGUAAAUUACAUUCAUACUGUUUCAUAAAAGCUUUAGUUGCAAGGACUCUUAACAAAACUUUUCCCUACUCUAGCGAGAAUUCAAAUAUUUGGCAAGAAAGCAUUUCCUCACUGUAGAUAGACUCUUAUCGUCGUAAUCUAUUUUACUAACUAUACCGAGUAAAAGUUUUAGAGUUUAACAAAAUGGAGACUUUGAGCAAGAGUUUUUUUUCUCGCUAAACGACUUUUUUGUUGUAGUAAAUGUACAAUUGGAUCCACAUACACUAAGAAUUAACAAUUCAUCAUGUGCGUGCAAGUAGAAGACAAUGCAUAAUUAACACUUUUCCAAAAGUGUUAGUUACACUCAAUAUUCUUGUGGUAGAUGUGUAGGAGUUUAGGUUAAUUGUUGGUUGUGCAAAUUUCCCCUCAAGAACAAGAAUUUGGUCACGGAAGAUGAAAUGAAGCCAGAUUUAGUUAGGUUAGUAUCAUUGUCUUUGUUAAUAGAUUUGGAGUGUUAGGUCUUUGUCACAUAAUUGCAUUGUUUUCCCCUUUAGAUUUUUAAAUUUGACGUGAUUUAUAGAUAUGAAGAGAUUCUUGCACUACAAAAAACCGCAGUAUUUGUCGGAUCAAAUACGAUUUUGUCACCUAUAAGUUUGCUCGACAAAAUUAUGUGAGCCAAAGUUCGUCGCGCAAAACCCGUUGCUCAAAUAUUGCCUGACGAAAUAUAAGCAUUUGUCAAGAGAACAUUGUUGACUCGACUAAAUAAAGUCGUCCGGUAAAAGAGCAUUGACCGACCUGGUCCGACAAACAUAGCUUGCUCGACAACAAAGUUUUGUCGAGUUUCUAGAAAUAAAAUAAUGAAAAUUUUAGCCCGACAAAAUAUUAGUCGGGCAAUUGUUUUAAAGAAAAAAAAAUACAAUAAAAGUUUGCUUGACGAAUAUCUUCGUUGGGCAAAGCUUUUAUAUAUAUAUAUUUAAAUUUGAAAUUAAAAUAAUGUAUUAAUUCUAAUUAUAUUAGUCUAAAAGGCUAAAAUAAAUCACAACUUUAAAGAAAUUUAUUUAAUUACAUUAAAAAAAUAUUCGUACAAUUGUAUGUAACAAAAAAAUUAAGUGCAACUACUGGAGUUACCGCUGAGGUGGCUAGUGGAAUGGCGCCUGAAGAUCGCUCGGAGGAUUGGGAAUGCGAAUGCCAGAAGCUAACAUUGCUUGCGCUAUCCCAACAAUGUACCAAAAGGCCCUCCUCUCACUGACGCACGGUUUCUUGCUCGCGCAGAGCUUCUUCUCGACGGCUCGCUAGCUCCAUCUCCAACUGCUGCAGUUUGGAAGACAUCUUGCUUGGAGGAUGAGACCUAGAUGAAGAAGAAGUUUCCUCAAGAUCCCGAACUUGACCGGUUCCUAGGCCACCGAAUUCUUUGCAUUUCAGUUGGCCAACCACGUCCAUUAGCAAUUGUAGAGACACCUCUCGAUCAGGUGUCAUCUCCUCCAUUGGUGUGUCCGAUUUCUGCUGGGAGAGGUUGGCUAGGUACUUAUCCUUAUUCUGCGACGUAGAAGCCUACAAAAAAAUAAAAAAUAAAAAUCAGUUACCUAUCCUAAAAGUUUAUUUUGAUGAUUUUUAGCUUAUACGAUCUCAGAGUAUAUAUAAAUAAGUUUGAAGGUUGGAUCGUUGAAACUAGUUUCAUAGAAUGUGUAUCCCGUCAAAACAAUUGAUUCAACAAACACUUAAAGUUUAUUUUAUACUUUCAUUGAGUAGAAAGGAAGAUUUUGUGGCGUACACUAGUGUAUAUAUUUUAACUUGAUCAUCGAGUUCAUUCAUUGUCUUCUUCUAGUGUAAAAAAUCAUCAAAAGUAGAGCUAAAAUAACUGUCAAAUCGUGAUUUUUCGUUUGUAACCGUAGAAUGACAUCUCCACAGAUAUGUAUCCUUUUCUAAUUUUUUUCUGCAAUCGAAUAAUCUGAUACGGUGAUUGGUGUAUUUCGUAUGAGGGAGUGAUAGAUUUAUAACCAUUUUAACUUUUGAUUCAAUUUUGUAUUCCUCUAUUUAAUACAAAUUCUAGAGAAUAUCCAAACAAUGAAAUUUGGAAUUCCCGUCAUUUUGUAAUUUCUAUGUAUCCAACAUCCAAACGAUGAAAUUCAUUUAACGGGAAUUUAAUUACUGUCAAUUGUAAUUCCUGUCAUUUAAAAUUAUGUGAUAAUUUAGAAAUUCUCCAUCCAAACAUAGUGUAAAAGUUUGUUUUUUGUGCUUUUGACGCAUCCGAUCUCGCAGUAUAUAUGUAACAUCUCACAUCGCCCAGGGGAGUGAUCCUUAAAUGUAUAUUCCCAUCCCUACCUAGCACGAGGCCUUUUGGGAACUCACUGGCUUCGGGUUCUGUAGGAACUUCGAAGUUAAGCGAGAAGGAGGCCAGGUCACUCCCAGGAUGGGUGACCCACUGGGAAGUUGCUCGUGAGUUCCCAAAAACAAAACCGUGAGGGAAUGGUAAGCCCAAAGAGGACAAUAUCGUGUUACGGUGGUGGAGCGGGCCCGGGAAGUGGUCCGCCCCGGGCCGGGAUGUGACAAUAUAUAAAUAAGUUUGACGGUUGGAUCAUUGAAACUACUUUUGCAGAACGUGUAUCCUGUCAAAACAAUAGAUUCGACAAACAAUAAAGAGUUUAUUAUAUUUCCAUUAAGUAGAAUGGAAGAUUUUGUGGUGUCCACUAUAGUUCAAAUUGAUGAUCGGGUUCAUUUAUUGUAUUCUUCUAGGGUCAAAGAGUGUAGUUGUAAAAAAAAUAUCAAAAUCGAAGCUAAAAUGACCAUUAAAUCUUGAUUUUUAGUUUGUAACUGUAGGAAAUUUUGGUCUCGUUACCUAUUCUCUCUGAAAGUUUGUUUUUGGUAUUUUUGGUGUAUGCGAUAUUGGAGUAUAUACAAAUAAGUUUGACAUUUGGAUUGUUGAAACUAGUAUCGUAGAAUGUUUAUCUUGUCAAAACAAUAGAUUCAACAAACAAUUAGAGUUUAUUCUAUAUACUUCCACUAAGUAGAACGUAAGUUUUUGUGGUAUCCAUUACUGUAAGUAUUUUAAAUUGAUGGUCGGGGUUCAUUGUAUUCUUCUAGGGUUGAGGAGUGUAGUUGUAAAAAGUCAUCAAAAUCGGAGCUAAAAGAACCGUUAAAUUGUGAUUUUUUGUUUGUAACCGUCGAAGGAUUUCGUUCCAUUACCUAACCUUUUUGUUUUUGGUGUUGCAUUAUUGGAGUAUAUACAAACAAGUCUGAUAGUUGGAUUGUUGAAAUUAAUUUUGCAGACUGCGAAAAUUAUCGAAGGAAUUAAAUAUGCCAAUCAUGUCUCUCACCUUUGCCCAAUGAAAUAUUAUAUUUGGCGCGAAAGUUUACCCGAUGACUAAAGUUUUGCCCAUCGAACUCUAUUCAUCGGGCAAAAUUCUCUAAAAAAAAUAAAAAAGUUGACCCUUUUUGCCCGACUACGUUUGUAUUCCGUCAGGGGCAUAUGCUUAUGUGUAAUCACGUUUAUUUAAUCAGAUUGUUUUUUUGUAUGCACCCGAAGUUGAAUUUCAUUCUAUCUAUUUUAAAAGAAACACCAUAUUUCAUUAAUGAUAGGAGCAAAUACAUGAUUCAUAAUAUAUAGAUGAAGAACAUGACCCAAAUUGGAGGAUACUUGCAAACAAACAUCUGAAAUACAAAAGAAUAAUUAAAGAUGUUGCAAGACAACGCUAAAACAACGCUAAAAGAGACGGAGGAUCCAUAUAAACGAUGCAUCUAGUAUGAGAUCAUGAAAGAGACGAACACUCUCAAAACAAUUGCGCGAUACAAAACGUUAUGCUUCUAUAUGAAAACGUCGCGGCUCCUUGCUAAUAGUAUCUUUAAUGCUCCUUUAGUAAUUAAAAGUAAACUCGUGUAGUUAGAAAAUAUAGAAGCAUAACGUUUUGUAUCAUAUAAUUUACCUAACAUAAUUUCUCCAACUCGUGUAGUUAAAAAAUAUGAUACUUUAAAUUAAAAAUAACGUUAGAGAAAUUAUAUUUUUAGAUCACAAUUACGAGGUAUUUUAUGUGUCAGUUGAUGCGGCGUGUCAUGUCAUGAUAAAGGGAAACUUGCACACAUAUAUAUAUAUAUUAUUCAAAUCCAUUAUUUUCUUUUUAUUUGUUUUAUAUGAAAAGACAUACAAUAUCACUUUUCCAUGAAAAGCUUUAAUGACAAGCCAAAACACUGUUUCAAAAGUUUAAAAAACAUAAAAGGAAAUAAAAACCAUUGUUUGUUGACAAAAGUUUUGAUGCCAUAUAAUUUAGUUGUAGGCGUCCUGGUGCUCCAAGAGGUAGUUCUCAAUCAACUUGAAGAGGUGGGAGGCCUUUUCUUUGCCAGCCUUAACAUGCUCUUCCUUGAUCUCAACGUCACCCUUGGUGUGGUAGUGGCUGGUGCUCUUAAUGACGGAACCGCUGCCGGAAGCCACUAACUUAGUCUCAUAAGAGAUCUUCUCAAUUGUCUCAGAGAUAGCAUCUCCUUCAAUCACACUGUACUUGUAGACAAAGUUUUCCUUGUCAACCCCAUCAAUUCUGUGCUUCACAUAGCUGUAUGUGCUACCUUCACCAAAGUUGAUCUUCUUAAUGGUUCCAACGCCGCCAUCUCCUUCAAGGAUCUCAGCGCUCUUCACUGCUUGUGGUGCAAUCUUGGGGAUGAGGUUGUCAGCAUCAAGAACAAAGGCAUUGAACAACCUAGCAGGGGGGAUGACGGAGGUGAAUUCGGAUUCGUAUGUGAAGACACCCAUGAUUCUGAGAUGCGUUUGGGAGGUGAGGAAAAACUAAUUGAUAAAGAGGAAGACUGAGGAAGAAAGAUGAUGUAUUGGGAGGUUUUGAGGUGUGAAUAGCUGAAGAGGAGGUAUGGUAUUUAUAGGCCGAGGGUGCCUGAAUGUGGAUGAAUAGGUUUAUGCCAUUUCCUUAUUGUUUAAUUGGUUCUAUUCAUUGUGACGUGGGAACCAUUACUUUUAUACUUGGAAUGUUUGUAUUUUAGUCAAGAGAAGAACCAUCUGCUAAUUGAGUAAAAAAAAUAAAAUUAUAGCCAUUUAAUCCACGAGCUCAAUUAUUUCUAUCCCACUGUUUUAUAUAUAGAAGUUAAAAUUUUGCAUUUGCAUGCAAUGAGUGCUUUAGAGAUGACCACAUUCUCUGACACUUAGCAACUUUUACACUUUCUGUGAGAACCAGAGCAUUGAAUUGGAAUUCCUUUUCAGUAAUUGAUUGAGCUUAUUCCUUUCUAUAUUUUUUUAGUCCAAAACUGAUACCUGUGUCUCAAUCAACAAUGACUGCCAUGGCUAUGAAUUCAAUAAUUCUGAUAAAGUGAUCAGACGAGACUACAAAAAUAACAACUUUGUUCUUUGUCGGGUAUUGAGAUUUGAAACCAAAUUGGGCCGUUUUGUUGUCUCCUAUAUUUAUCUAAUUUUGUAUAUUCACAAUCAACAUGGUCAUUGGCUGUGUACAUAAAAUAGUUAAUAGAUACGAGGACUGUAUAUUAGGACUUUGUUAUAAUUGAACAUUUUGAAUCUUGCCUUUUCCGUUUGAAGAUGUAGAAACCCCACUUAAAAUGAUGGGCAAUCAAUGUUGACUCAAUGCAGCCAUAUGUUGGAGAAAUACAAGUCAAGUACCCUAAUUUGAACUUCUGGAACUGCAUACUAGUUGUGAUGUAGUGGGGACAACAAUAUUAUGAAGCAAACAGCAAUUUGUAAAACAAGGUUUCACCAAUUGGGCAUUAGACACCAAUUCAUUUCGGAUAAUAUUUGGGUACUCACCUUUUAAUUUUGUUCAAUGAUAUUUUAAAAAAUGUUAUUUAAUUUUUCUUGGGCUUUUAAAAAAUGAACAUGUGACAUUUUUUUAUUGAACCAAAUCAAAAAGUGAGUACAUCAAUACUCACUAGUGAGUACCUAAGUAUUAGUCAUUCAUUUCAUCCCCAUCAGUGUACUAAUUAACCUCAGUAAAUUAAAUUCAUACGGUUUCAUAAAAGUUUUAGUUGCGAGGACCCUCGACAGUCUAUAUAUGAGAUCACUACAACAAACAAAAUGGUCUGUUAUUGAGGAAAUCUUUUGGAGGAAACCUAGUUUUCUCGCUAUAGAACACUUUUUACAAGGAUAUUAUUUCGUCUUCGCAAAAACUGACCCAAUUUUGAUUACAAGUCCUGUCCUUACACUAGCGAGAAAUUUAAAUAUUUUGCAAGAAAACGUUUCCUCACUGUCGACGGACUCUUAGCUUGGUAAUCUACACUUACUCACUAUAGCGAGUAAAAGUUUUAGGGUUUAACAAAAUGGAGACUUUGAGCAAGGAAUAUUUUUUUUUCUCACUAAACAACGUUUUUGUUGUAGUGGAUGUACAAUUGGAUCCACAUACAUCAACAAUUAACAAUUCAUCAUACUUUUGGACGGGUUUAUUAAGAGGGUGUCUGCCGUAUAAAAUAAGUGGAUCUGAUUAAAUUAGUCCGGUCCAAUUUGAUAUGAGAGGGUGCCAAACACCCGGCUCCAUAUUAGUAGUCCUAUAUGGUGCUAUAUACAAUGUACCAAGCGAUGCCUUAGUGAUUGAUAUAUGUCUUGAUAAAUGAUAUAUAUCAUCUAUUUGCUAAAGUAUCUUUAAUGCUCCUUUUGUAAUUUAUAUAUGUCUUGACAAAUGAAUGUAUAUAUCAUCUAUUAUCUGAAUAAUAGACGAUACAUACAUUCAUUUAUCACACUAUAUAAAAAAAAAUUGGUAAUUGUCAAAUUAUAUAAUGGUUAGGCCAACUCGUGUAGUUAGAAAAUACUGAAAAUAUGACUUUAACCCUUAAAAUUUAAUUUUCAUUACAUAAAACCCGACAUAAUUUUUUUAUUUGAUUAAAACCCAUUGACUAAGCUCCACACAAGCAAAUUCAUUAACUAUGUUUGACUUCACCAUUGUACAUUUUUUGAAUGCCUAAUAUACCCUUAAUUACAUUUUUGACCUAUACAAUUAAUUGUAUACAGAUUAAAAGGUGAAUGAAUGAUUCUUGAAAAGAGAAAUAAGCAUUAAUAUUCAUACUAUGAUUCGAUCACAAUAUAUAUGAUGUAAUUUAACAAAUAUGUGGGGAAUCAGUAAAUGUGAAAAACUAAAAAAUUUCUCUCUGGGGAAACACUAGGGUUUCACUAGGAGAGCAACGAUUUAUUGAAUUACGACGCCGUCAUUGAGGUAAUCGUGGUGGCAAGGGGCCGUGUCAUUGUAGGGUGUGGCAGUGACUGAUCCGACGACUUAGGUGUGAAUGAUUAUUAGUUUGGCGCGUCUCGUUGGGGGAAAACUUUGGCAGUUAUCUCGAACAUGUGUGCUUGUGGUGGUAAGGCAUAUGGAUGAGAUGAUUUCGAAGUUCGCUGAAAGAUUUGUUCUCACUACGGAGGAACAAAAAGUGGUGGUGAUUGAUGAUAAGGAGGGUGCGCUCCUUAGGAAUAUGAAGGUUUUCCUUGUGGGGAGAGUGCUUACUAGUAAGACAUUCAACAAAGAAAGAUUUAAAAGGCAGAUGUUAAAUCUCUGGUGCCCGAAGGCGAAGGUUAUGAUAGUGGAGUUGGAGGAAGGUUUGUUCUCUUUUGGUUUUGAUAAUAGCCGUGAGAGGGCUAUGAUUAAAAAAAGGGGGCCUUAGCUGUACGACGACGUUCUAGUGGUGUUGGUAGAGGCAAAUGUGUUGGUAAACCCGGUGUCUAAUCCGUUGACCUCCCAAGAAUUUUGGAUCCAAGUAAAGGGUUUGCCUCUUCCUUACAUGACCCGUCAUAUGGGUCAAUUCAUUGGGAAUCAGAUAGGUCACCAUGUAUUGACUUAUCAAAGCAUGAUGAGUGAUAUGUUUGGUAGUUGGUAGUAUACUGCGUAUCCGGGUUGCUGUUGAUAUCCAGAAACCACUACCGAGAGGUUUGAGGCUUGUCAUUGAGGGAUCUGAGGUGGGAAUUGAUUUACGCUAUGAGAAGAUUCCUAUCACCUGUUUUCUAUGCGGCAUUGUAGGGCACUUAGAAGAGCACUGCAUGCACUUCAAGGGGCAGAAUGAUGAUGAUAUGUCGAAGCUGUAUGGUCGCUGGUUUCAGUUUGAUGUGUUAGGUGCGGAUUAUAGAAAGCCAAAAGGCACGCGUUUUGGGUUGGAUGAAGUACAGGGGUGGUCCAUGAAGGUUCCAGUGUUUGUGGAUGAGGUGAUGAAGGAGGAGGGGAGUAACGUUAAUGACCACAUGUUGGGCAGUGUGGUAGUAUAAGAGGGACGACAGACUAGGGUUUCUCUCAAUGGAGCAUAUGUUAUACCUGAUUUGAAUGACAUGAGAGAGUCAGAGGAGUUGCCAGUGGAGUAGAUGGCCAUCAUCCCUUUCCAUCCGUAAAUGUUUCAACAUGAUACAUGUGGAGCUAUGGUGUUUGGUGUGGAUCUCAAUGUGGCGCCACCUAGUGAUGCUGAGUCUCUCCAAGUUUUAGGUUUUGAUGACUCUGGAGGUGGAAGAUGAGGGAUGGGGAUGGGUUUAAAGGAUGUGGGUUUCUUUGAACCCCGUGGUAAUGAGGUAGUGGAGUGGGACCUGCAAUUUUGGGGGGACGGGGGAUGAGCAUGGUAGUAGUCUUGGGCUGAAUGUGGGUGGUAGUGGGUCCCGAACGGGGUGGAACAAGCAGAUAGUCAGGAAGGACCAUGUUAGUAACCCAGAGUUGUCUCAACAUGUGGGGGAAGAGAUACAGAAGGCGAACUCGCUGCAGGGAACGUUGGGUCCAAUGUUUAAUGGGAUAAAGUGGCCUAGUUUGGGGCUGGACCCUUUCAACCUAAUGCCUAUUAUUAAGCACAAUCAGAGGGCUCGAAAAAAAGAAGCAAUAUCGACGUAAGAGACAGGGUGGGUUUCCCUUGGGUAAUGUGCAGUCAGGGAUUCCAACACAGAAGUUUUUUCUCCCUACUUGAGCUAGGGAAGAGGCAGGUCUGUGAGGAGUUGGGUGUCAAAGCACGAUAUGGAGGACGUAGAAGGUUGUUGGAAACAGAAGAGGUUAUUAGUUCAUCGGCGGAGGUUGAUGUGGUUCAACCCCACCGUCAUCAAUGAGUUGCUUAAGUUGGAACUGCCGGGGGCUUGGGAACCUUCGUGCAGUUCAUGCUCUCCAACGUUUAAUUUAUGUCCAAGAUCCCACUGUAGUGUUCUUGUGUGAGAUAAAGAGUAAUGCUCGUCACAUAGACCAUUUAUGUUUAAAGUUGAAUUUUGAUCGUAGUUUUACUGUUGACAAUAGAGGUAAAUCUGGUGGUUUAUGUGUUUUGUGGAAGGAUGAAAUAAAUUUGUCUUUGAGAUCUUAUUCUUUGAAUCAUAUUGAUUUCGAUGUGGGUGACCCUAAGGAGGUGUCUUAUUGGCGUCUAACCAUUUUUUAUGGAUAUCCUGCUGUGUCUGAUCGAUAUAAGUCUUGGAGGCUUCUUUACUCUCUGUAGCCACGAGUAAAGGCCUUGGUUGUGUCUCGGUGAUUUUAAUGAGACUCUCCAAGCUCACGAGCAGGAAGGAGGCAAUGUAAGGCUAGACAGGCAAAUGGAAGGGUUCAUCUCAGUGGUGGAAUCUUGUAAUUUCAUUGAUCUCAGUUACUCGGGGAAUAAAUUUACUUGGUUUACAACAAAAGGGGGAGGAAUUAAAGUAAGAUUGGAUGAUGCCUUGGGUAAUCAGAAAUGGGUUGACUUGUUUCCGCGGUUCUCAGUUAAGCAUUUGAGCAAGUCUACGUCGGAUCAUGUUCCAGUGCAGGUUUAUUGGACGGGGCGAGUUCUAGAUCGUGGCAAGAAAUAGUUUAGGUAUGAAGAGUGUUGGAAUUUGCAAAAAGGAUGUUCAGAGGUGGUCCGUGAGGGUUGAGAAGGUGACGUUAAUGGGUCCCCCAUGUUUCAGGUCACUAAGAAGAUCAAGAUGACUCGAUUGAAGUUAAAUAAUUGGGUGAGAAGCUUUGCUAGGUCCGGACCUAUAAAGAUAAGAGAAGUUGAGGAUAAACUCACAAUUUUAUUGGGUCAUCCGUUUACAGAAGAGUCUAUUCUCUAAAAAAAAAAAAAGAGUUGGUUGGGAGGUUGAAUAGGCUACUUGAACAAGAGGAGCAAUUUUGGCGUCAACGGGCAAAAGAAAAUUGGGUUAAGCUUGGCGACUGCAAUACCAAAUAUUUUCAUUAGAAAGCAACUCGGAGGCAAAAGCGUAAUUUUUUGCAUGGCUUAAGGGAUGAUGCGGGGGUAUGGCAUGAAGACAGAGCUGGUAUAGAGGAAGUUGUAGUUUCUUAUUUUUCCAAGUUAUUUAUGUCUAAUGGGGUGCAUAACUUGGAAGACAUUUUAUGCCAUAUUGUUCCGUCGGUUACGGAGGAAAUGAAUGCUAAGCUUGAUCAUCCAUAUUCAGAUGAGGAGAUCAAAGCUGCUGUUUUUCAUAUGCAUCCUACGAAAGCUCCCGGUCCUGAUGGCAUGACUCCUAGGUUUUACCAAAAACAUUGGAGAGUCGUAGGUACUGAUGUGUGCAAUGGUGUUCGACAUUUGUUGAUGUCGGGACAAAUGUUACGUAAAAUUAACUACACGCAUGUCACCCUCAUUCCUAAAGUUAAAGAUGCCACGAUGAUGACACAACUUCGACCAGUCAGUCUCAGUAAUUUCAUUUACAAGAUUUUGGCGAAGAUGCUUACGAAUAGGUUAAAGACUAUCUUGCCACGGAUUAUUUCUCCUACUCAAAGUGCUUUUAUUCCGGGUAGGUUAAUUUUAGAUAAUUAUUUGGUGGCCACUGAGGUUGCCCACUACAUGCAUAAGCAUUUAUCGAGGUCCAAUGGGCUAAUGGCUCUAAAGCUUGAUAUUAGCAAGGCCUACGAUCGAGUGGAAUGGAGUUUUCUUGAAGCAUUGAUGUACCGAAUGGGGUUCUCUGAGCGGUGGAUCUGUUUGGUUAUGUUGUGUGUCACAACGGUGUCCUAUUCAUUUAAGGUGAAUGGGAAUUCGAUGGGCUAUGUGCAUCCGAAGUGCGGAAUUCGUCAGGGAGACCCUCUAUCUCCUUACUUGUUUGUUAUAUGUGCUGAGGGAUUAUCGGCGUUACUAAGGAAGGCGAAGUUUAAUGGGGAGCUGCAAGGUAUCAAAGUGUGUCGUAAGGCACCUAGUAUUCACCAUCUUUUCUUCGCGGAUGAUAGUUUUCUAUUUGCUCGUGGUAUCGUUGGUGAAUGCAGAUAUAUUAUAAAGUUAUUACGUUUGUAUGAGAUGGCAUCGAGACAAGCGGUGAAUUUUGAGAAGAGCUGUGUUUCCUUUAGUCCGAAUCUCACUACCUUUGAUAAGCAAUUAUUAGCCAAUUGUCUGGGUAUGAAGAAGGUGGAGUUCCAUGAUAAAUAUCUGGGGUUGCCGGUGCUUAUUCAGAAAUCGAAGAAGGAAACUUUUGCGUACGUAAAUGAUAGAGUGUGGAAGAAAUUACAAAGUUGCCGGGGGGGGGGCUUAUUGAGUAGUGCGAGGGCGAGAGUUAUUAAUCAAAACGGUGGCUCAGGCCCUGCCUAUGUAUUCUAUGCAAUGUUUUCUUCUUCCUAAAUCUUUAUGUGAGAAGCUGAAUAGGAUGAUAGCUAAGUUUUGGUGGAGCGGUGAUCCGGGUAAGCGAAAAAUACAUUGGCUUAAUUGGCGUAUUCUGUGUAAGCCUAAGCACGAGAGGGGACUUGGCUUCAGAGAUCUUUAUGCUUUUAAUUUGGCGAUAUUGGCUAAGCAAGCAUGGCAAUUCUUACAGCAACCGAAUUCAUUCGUUUUCCAGAUUUUUAAAGCCAGGUACUUUCCUAGGUCAGGGUUUAUGGAAGCAUUAGUAACUCCUAAUAGUUCGUAUGUGUGAAGGAGUAAGCUUCAAGGCAAGUGAUUCACAAAGGCCACCGUUGGCAAGUGGGUAAUGGGCAGAGAAUUCAAAUUUGGAAAGACAAUUGGAUUCCUAGGGAUUCGUUUUUUCGUAUUUUAACUCCACCUCCGAGGGAUUAGGAUAUGGAGGCUAAAGUGGUUGAACUUCUUUGGGGGGGGGGGGUACUGCGGCAAUGGAAUGUCCCGCUGCUAAACAUUCUAUUCUCUCAUAAGGAAGUGGAGUUAAUUCGAAACACACGGUUGAGCGUACGAGAUGUUGAGGAUAGACGUAUAUGGAAUUUUGAACGCAAUGGGAAGUUCUCGGUUAGGAGUGCUUAUCAGGUGGCUCGGGGCAUUCUUGUUAAUACUGGUAGUGGUGCAGACGGAUCUUCAUCCACUUUGGGUGAAGUGGGGGAGAAAUAUUGGAAGAAAAUUUGGAAUGCGAGUGUACCGGGGAAGGUGAAUAUUUGUACUUGGCGUGCUUGUUUGGACUCUUUACCCACUCGUGAAUCUACAUAAAAGAAGAGUGAUAGAAGACAAGGUGUGCUUGGUCUGUGGGUUGCAAAUAGAGUCAACGGAGCAUAUUUUUAGAGAUUGUAGCAUGUCGAGAGCGGUGUGGUUUCAGAGUUUGGGGAUAAGGGUGGAUAGCGGAUGUGAGCGCAUGUCCUUUAUGCAGUAGAUGGUCACGAAUGCGCAACAACUCCCGGUUUUUGGUUUUAUGCUUUGGUUGAUGUUAGUAUGGGCCUUAUGGAAACACAGAAAUGAGGUGUUGUGGAAUAGGGCUCGAAUGCCACCACAUGCGAUAAUCUUAAGGACUGAGGGUUGGCUGUAUGAGUAUCAUAAAUGGCAUAAAACCCAGAAUAGGAAGUCGGUUAGGGAGGUUAAAAAAUGGAGGAAACCUGGGGUGAGAUGGUUAAAGUGUAAUUUUUAUGGGGCUUGGAGUAAAACUGAAUCUCGGGGGAGGGGGGGGAUAUGGUGUUGUGAUUAGAGAUCACACGGGUAGUUGUUUGGGGGCGGUGGUUGGGCCUGUUGUUGGGGCGGCUUCGACUUUGUACACGGAGUUGUUUGCAGCUUAUCAGGUAUUAGGGCUGCUCAAGAGUAGAUACCCGUCUGAUAUAAAGAUAAAUUUGGAAGGAGAUUAAUCUCUAGCGUUGGCUGUUAUGGCAGGGCUAGAAGAGGAUGUGUCCGUUUGGGGGCCUGUUAUUAAUGAUUUGAGAAGUCUUCUUAUGGAAUUGCUUUUUAUGGAGUGUGGACAUGUUCAGAGGGAAGCUAACUCAGUUGCGCAUCGUCUUGCUCGGAUGGGGCUCAAUUGUCUUCAGGAGGUGUUGUGGUUUGAGGUGCCCUCGGAUUUGAUUCAAUAUCUCUUAUUUGAGGAAGGAAUGUAAUCUUGUUUUCUAUUGUUCAUUUGAGGAUAGUUCUUUCGUUGUGCCGGACACUCUUUACCUUAGACCGGGUUGAAAUCCCCGAUAAGGUGUUUAUUGAGGCCCAUUUAGCACACUAUUCUCAGUUUGUACGAAUUCUGAUUUGUUUUAAUGAAUAUCAUACUUGUUUAAAAAAUAAAAAAAAUAAAAAAAUAAAUGUGCCUAAUAGUUGUGCUAAUAUAUGGAGAAUAAUUUACCUACAACAUAAAGAAAUGUUAUUUGCCUCAAAGUUAUUUUACAUAUAAAUAUAGGUAAAUUAUUUUACACACACAUAUAUAAUAAUAAUAUUUUACAUAUAAAUAUAGGCAAAUUAUUUUACACGCACAUAUAUAAUAAUAAUAAAAUGUGCCUUAUAUAUAUUACUACAUGUAAAAUAAUUUAUCUGCAACAUAUAGAAAUGUUAUUUUAUUCAAAGUUAAUUACCUAUAUUUUACAUAUAGAUAUAGGCAAGGUAUAAAAUAUCGAUGAUAUCGGAAAUAUCGGUAGUAAAAAAACACGGAAAUAUCGAGAUAUUAUCGAUAUCGAUAAAAAUUGAAUAAAAACCAUGGAAAUUGUAAGAAAAACUUGGAAAUUUUUAUUGAAACUUUGGAGAAUGUUUAUUUAGUCAAUUAUCUAUUAGUUUAUAAAAAAAAAUUAGAAGGAAAUGCAUUACAUGAUGGAUUUAACUUAUUUAAGUUGAUUAUACAGCGAGCUGGCAAACACUAUGAGUGUAGAAAAUAUGUAGUAAUUAAUGAAAAAAAGAUUAAACACACCAUAAUCAUUUAUAUAUAAUGAUUUACUACAAUAUUUUACACUUUAUACAUUGCAUGUGCAAAAGAAAUUGUCAAAGAUUCAUUGUCAUGUGCAAAUUUGUUUCUUGCAAAAAGAAUUCAAAACAAAACCAUAUAUAUAAAUAUUUUAGCACAUGUUCACAAAAACAUAAGUGAUAUGGUGGUUAAGGUGUUGAAGGAAUAAAGUGGGAGGGGUUCGAAUCCCCUUGGUGUUAUUUUAGCAUAUUUUCAUUUUCAUUGUCAUAUGCAAAUUUGGGUUUUAUCUCGCGAUAUAUAUCCCAAAUAAUGUAUUAAAAUCAUUAAAAAUAUCGUAUUUCGAUAUUAUCGCGAUAAUAUUGAUAUUUUAACGAUAUAUUAAUGGAUAGUGUAUAAAAUAUAGCGAUAUGAAAAAAUACAUGCAAAUUAAUUUACCUACAACAUUAAUUUACCUAUAUAUUACAUAUAAAUAUAGGUAAAUUAUGUUACACACCCUAAUAAUAAUGUGGCGAAUAUAUAUAUAUAUGUAAUGGUUUACCUACAAAAUAUAAAAAUAUUACUUUAUUUCAAAUACAUAUGAUUAUUAGUGGCUAAAAAACCGUUAGAAGGGUUAUGGCAUAUGUUGUAAAUUAUAUGAAGUAAAAGGUCAUUUAUUUUCUAUUGUGGCAACAUAUUUGAAUUUUGGGUUUAUAUUGGAUGUUUAAAGAUAUGUGGGUUUUAAUCUAAAAAUUACGAGUUGUAUGGGUCUAUAUCUAAAGAACCCUAUAAAAUAUGAUACUUUAAUUUAAGAGUAAUGUUAGAGAAAUUACAUUUUUAGAUCACAAUUACAAAACAUUGUAUGUGUCAGUUGAUACGGUGUCAUGUCAUGCCAUGGUGCAUGAUAAAGGGAAACUUGCACACAUAUAUAUAUUAUCCAAAUCUUAUUUUCUUUUUACUUAUUUUUAUAUAAAAAGACAUACAAUAUUCACUCUUCAAUGAAAAGCUCCAAUAACAAGCCAAAUUACAAGCCAAAACACUGUUUCAGAAGUUUAAAAAACAAAAAAGGAAAUGAAAACCGUUGUUUGUUGACAUAAGUUUUGAUGCCAUAUAAUUUAGUUGUAGGCGUCUUGGUGCUCCAAGAGGUAGUUCUCAAUCAACUUGAAGAGGUGGGAGGCCUUCUCUUUGCCAGCCUUAACAUGCUCUUCUUUGAUCUCAACAUCACCCUUGGUGUGGUAGUGGCUGGUGCUCUUGAUGACGGAACCGCUGCCAGAAGCGACCAACUUAGUCUCAUAAGAGAUCUUCUCAAUUGUCUCAGAGAUAGCAUCUCCUUCAAUCACACUGUACUUGUAGACAAAGUUGUCCUUGUCCACCCCGUCAAUUCUGUGCUUCACGUAGCUGUAUGUGCUACCUUCACCGAAGUUGAUCUUCUUAAUGGUUCCAACUCCACCAUCUCCUUCAAGGAUCUCAGCGCUCUUCACUGCCUGUGGUGCAAUUUUGGGGAUGAGGUUGUCAGCAUCAAGAACAAAUGCAUUGAACAACCUAGCAGGGGGGAUGACGGAGGUGAACUCGGAUUCAUAUGUGAAAACACCCAUGAUUCUGAGAAGUGAAUGGAAAGUGAGAAAAGAAUAACUAAUGAAGAGGAAGAUCUAAGAAAGAAAGAUGAUGUAUUGGGAGGUUUCUUGAGAUGUGAAGAAGUGAGGAGGAGGUAUGGUAUUUAUAGGCUCAGGCUGAAGGUGUGUGAAUCAAAAGGUUUAUGCAAGUUCCUAAUUGUUUAAUUGGUUCUAUUCAAUGUGACGUGGGAGCCAUUAUUUUUGUACAAGGGAUUUUGUAGUUUAGUCAAGGGAAGGACCAUAUGGAAAUUGAAUAAGGUACCCAAUUAAUCCACGAUGUGGACAAGUUAAAAUUUCCAUGUGCAUGCAAUGAGUACUUUAGAAAUGAUAUGAUUCUCUCACAUCAAGUAAACAAACUGACACCUUUUGUAAUUCUGUUUGAUAAUUUUUUCUAUAUAAUCAACGUUCCAAUUUUACUUGACCUAUAGAGGAAGAUUUAACUCGAACAUUUGUGUAUAUAGGCUUUCUUCCUUCUUCCUUUCCAGUCAAAUACCGAAAGACUAUAUGAUAUGAGCAAGUUGAUAGAAAUUUUGUCUGGUUAAACAAUAAUUUAGUUUAUCUGAGACAAUGUAUGGUGAUGUGGUAAUUCAGCGUUUAUCAAACACUAAUAAUAGCUGUUUUAUCUUGGAUUAAUUCACAUCCUUAAUUGUUAUAUAAUUCUAUAUCUUGAGCCAUUUCAAUUUGUAGAUGUGAUCAAAACCCAACCGAAAAUGAUGGGCAAACGACAUUGACCCAUUGCAGCCUAUUUUGAAAUGCAAGACAAGUGUAUAUCCUAAUUUGAACUUCUGGAAGCUGCAUACUAGUUGUGAAGUAGUAGGGACAACCAUAUUCUGAAACAAGUUGGUUUGGUCAAUUAGGGAUCACACACCGACCCAUUUGAUGUCCAGUUGUGUACUAGCUAAUUAACCUCGGUAUUAUUGUAAUUCAAAUUUCACCUACGAACAAUCCAUUUGAAUUGGAAAAACGGAAAAUCUAAGAGGAAGUGAUCAACUUCAUUCUUUUUCAGGUUGCCUUCCCUUGGUCCCCAGUAAUGAAAGGUGCACCAAAAAGAAAAGCCUAUACUGAAUGGUUAAAGAUUUCAAACCAAUUUUUUGUUACAUAUACAUAACACCUUUACAACAAUUUUACAGUUAAAGAUUUCAAACGUAGGGUUAGAUAAAAUGAUGUUAUUGAUAAUUGUAAGUUCUUAUAAAUGCAUACUAUAGAAUAUCAUACAUACUAUACAAAAAAGUGUUGAGAGUAUCAAUCUCACAUCAUGAAAAAUAGGACCUUGCAUGUGCUUAUAGUAAUUAGGCAAUUCCCCAUAUUUCCAAUUGUUUUUUUUUUUUGUGGAACCUCAAGUUUCUUCAUGGUACCAGAGCAAGUUGUCCCGCAUUUGAAGCUCAAUGGCCACAUGUGCUCCAUAUCUCCCCAUUUGUGCUGUCCAAGUUUAGGCUUGAAAAUGCGUUACACGUAAUGCGGGCGUGUUGAGCGUAUCAAUCCCACAUCAGAGAAAUGAAGGACUUUUGCAUGAGUUUAUAAGUAAUUUUGUCACGUCCCAUAUUGAAAAAAAAAAAAGUUUUGCUUUUGCUACUUUUCAGCUUCAAAUGACAUGUGACAUUGUAAAUAAGCAGACUUAUCAAACACAAAUUUUACUCGAACUUCUUUUCAUCCCGCUUAAAAUGACCCGUGACUUUGCAAAUAAGCAGACUUAUCAAACACAAAUUUUACUCAAACUUUUUUUUCAUCCCCACUUUUAAAAUAAUUUAAGUAGUACCAAACCUUACCUUAAUUUUUUUUUUAUGAUUUUUUUUUUAACAAACGAUAUUACCUACACUAUAGGAGUGGAGGAUUGAGCUAAGCCUAACAAUGGGCUAGCAAUAAUGUGGUAAAAAUUCGCUUUUGGCAAGAAUUGAACCUAAGACCUCUCACUUACGAGUGAGGGAAUACCACUAAACCAUAGUAAGUGACAUUUAUUGUAUUUUUAGUUUGGCUAUAUUACUAUUAGGUACAAUUGUUUUAGGUGUUCAAACAUAAAAUAAAAUUGAAAAGCAUCAGGUUUUACAAAUCACAACUAAUGUCUGAGCCCUAACGAAUCAAUAACGCAAAAAUUAUCGGACUUAAUGAACAAAAACAUAAAAAUUACAAACCGUACCAAAUUGAUCAAACCGAAUUUACCAAACCUAAUGAACUAAAACAUAAAAAUUUCAAAUUGUACCAAAUUGACCGUACCAAAUCUAUCAGACCUAAUGAACUAAAACAUAAAAAUACAUACCGUACCAAAUUGACUGUACCUAAUCUACAUGACCUAAUGAACUAAAACAUAAAAAAUAUUAACAGUAACAAAUUGAUCGUACCGAAUCUAUCAAACCAGUAUUCUAAAAAGCGGACAGAAAAUCGGAAAGCUUGUUGGGCUCUAUUUCUCAUUUGUUUGGCCUGCAACCAUUGAGGGGGCUAAAAAAUAGCCCCCUUUUGGUUGGAGAUGAGUUUUUUUGUCAAAGAGCUAUGUUUUGGCUUAUGGCCUUAUGGCCCAUUCGGUUGGAGAUUGUAUAAAAUAUAGUUUGACACUGUUCAUUAAAAAAUAAUUUCUUACAGGGCUAUAGGGCUAAACAUGACCAUUUGCCCCGUUCGAUUAGAGAUGGCGUAACGAUCCUGAGUUAGCCGUCGCACCACAUCCACAUAGCUGUGCCGGUAGAUUAUCAACCAGUUUAUGCAAGUUGGUAUACAAUUCUGCUUUUGUCCCUACGGCCUCACGACUACUAUAUGCACUUCCAGAAGUUCAAUUUAGGAAUGACUUGACCUGCAAUUCAACAUUGGCUGCAAUGCGUCGACUUUUGAUUGGCCGUCAUUUGGCUUUCACAUCUCCAAAAUAUUCAAUUGUAACAAAUAUUAUCCAAAUACACAGUCCUACUAUAUAUUAUCUUCUUCAGAUGCCCUUAUGUCCGCAGCCCGUGACUAUGCCAGUUGUGGAUGUAUAUAAAGUAUACUAAUAGACAACAUGAUUAGAGAUACUCCAACAAUACGUCAACAAAAAUUGGAUUAUUGAAAAGUCCAGUAAAUAUAACAACGCAAAACACAAAGUGUUAAGUUGGGAGAGAAUAUUACCUCUAAAAUACUAAUUACUUUUCGGUCUAGUGGUAUUCUUUAAUAUAAAAAUAUAUCUUGGUUUUAAGAAAAAUGAUGCGUGAUCUCUAAAGCACUAAUCGGUAAGCACAAGAAAAGAUUGAGGUUAGUCCACCUCGUGGAGUAAUUUUCCAUUUCUUAUUCAAUUUCCAGAUGGUCCUUUUCCUUGAUUACACUACAAAAUUUCCUUGUACAAAAGUAAUGGUUCCCACGUCCACGAUGAAUAAAACCCAUUAAACAAUUAAGAGCUUGCGUAAACCUUUUGAUCCACUUUCUGCCUCAGCCGAUAACUACCAAUACAUCCUCCUCACUUCUUCACAACUCAAAAUCUCCCAAUACAUCCUUUCUUUCUUUCUUAGUCUUCCUCUUCAUCGAUUAUUUUCCCACUUCACAAACACAUCUCAGAAUCAUAGGUGUUUUCACAUACGAUUCCGAGUUCACCUCCGUCAUCCCCCCCCCCCAUUAGGUUGUACAAUGCCUUUGUUCUUGAUGCUGACAGCCUCAUCCCCAAGAUUGCACCAUAGGCAGUGAAGAGCACUGAAAUCCUUGAAGGAGAUGGCGGAGUUGGAACCAUUAAGAAGAUCAACUUCGGCGAAGGUAGCACAUACAGCUAUGUCAAGCACAGAAUCGAUGGAGUUGACAAGGACAACGUUGUGUACAAAUACAGUGUGAUUGAGGGAGAUGCUAUCUCCGAAACAAUUGAGAAAAUUUGCUACGAGACUAAGUUGGUGGCUUCCGGCAAUGGUUGUGUCAUCAAGAGUACCAGCCACUACCACACUAAGGGAGAUGUUGAGAUCAAGGAGGAGCAUGUUAAGGUUGGCAAAGAGAAGGCCUCCCACCUCUUCAAGCUGAUUGAGAACUACCUCUUGGAGCACCAGGAUGCCUACAACUAAACAUUAUCUGCUGCUACAUUCAUGUGUUAUUUAGUCUCGUGUCAUCUUUGCCAUCAAAUAUUGUUGUGGUUUUAAUCCGUUUUAUAUAUCUUUUUCCCUUCCAAAACAGAGUUUGGCUUGUACGUAAUUGAAGGUUUUGAUUGAAGAUUGAAUAGCGGAUCUGAUUAUUCAUGCAUGUUGUUGUUGUUCUUGUUUUUUUUUUUUUUUUUUUUUUUUUAAUGCAAAAUUGUAGUUACUAAUGUUAAGUUCCAUUUUCCUAACUGCUUUAGUUUACUUAACACAUGAGAAGCGACAUUUCAAUUACCAGCAAAUCAUAAUAAUUGAAUAACAUUUGAAUCUCUACCACAUAAUAGCAUAAAGUGAUGAAAUGAAAACUCUGAUUUCGUUUUCCUUGUAAACCAUUUGGUAAUUCAUACCAUAAAUACGCCCAUGAGUUAAACAUACCCAUGAUGAUGAUUUAAGAGCUUGCCUCAUCUGUCAUGACUCAUCUUCAUCCGCGGCUCUUGCUUCUUGCACACGAAUUUUCUUAGCUAAUCUUAUUUUCGAUUUUUAAAUUAAUGUACAUCACGCCAUACAUGUUAGGUCUGCUAUCCUAACGUGUGAUUUUAUUUUUAUAUUUCACCUAUUUCUUUUGGCGUUUCAAAGCUUGUUUUGCAGGUUUAUACCUUUUUGGGGGGUUAGGCCCUAUAUCACUUCCCUCUUUUUCUUGUAUUUCUAGUUUUGUUUUCAAGAAGAAUCAUGUUUAUGUUCCCCCCUCUCGUUUUGCUACUUUUCUGCUUAAAAUGACCCGUGACUUUGUAAAUAAGCAAACUUACCAAACACAAAUUUUACUCGAACGAUUUUUAUCCAUGCUUUUAAAAUAAUUUAAGUAGUACCAAACCUUACCUUAAUUGUUUUUUAUUGACAAAUGAUAUUAUCUACAGUAAGGAGUUAAGAGAUCGAGCUAAGCCUCACAUUGAGCUAGUAAUAAUGUGCUUCAAAUUUAUCUUUGGUGAGAAUCGAACCUAAGAGAUCUCACUUACAAGUGAAGAGAAAUACCACUAGCUAGACAAUCAUACUAAGUGCCAUUUAUUUUAGGGGUUCAAACAUAUAAAAAAAAGAAGAAAAGCAUUAGGUUUUUCAAAUCAUAACUAAUGUCUGAGGCCAAACGAAUCAAUAAUGUAAAAAUAUCGGACCUAAUGAACUAAAACAUAAAAAUUACAUACGCACCAAAUUGACUGUAGCGAAUCUACUGAACCUAAUGAACUAAAACAUGAAAAAUACAAACUAUACCAAAUAUACUAGAUCUAAUGAACUAAAACAUAAAAAAUAUGAACCAUACCAAAUUGAUCGUACCGAAUUUACCAGACCUAAUGAACUAAAACAUAAAACAUAUGAGCCGUACCAAAUUGGUCGUACCGAAUUUAUGGGACCUAAACUAUAUAACGAACCAAAUUGAAGUCACAACAUAAUAGACCCUACAAAACUUCGGACCUAAACUAGUACAACGUACCUAAUUGUUAUUUACAAAAUAUAACCAAACGUACCUGAUCAACCAACAGAACCAAACAAUGAAAUUCCCCACAUAGGCCUUUCAAUAAACCCAUGGUAUGCAUUGUAAGGUAAUGUUGUCUCUGCCAAGACAAUUUUUGGAUGUAAAUUAGUGCAUUCUCCACAUAAUAUCAUUAUGAGAGCUUUCAAAAGUAUGGUAAUGGAACUGGUUAUACAAUAUUUCAAAUUUGCAUAAUUAUAAAAAAAAUGGUACGUUAUAGACAAAAAAGAUGACAUUCUUGUAGAAAAUGAAGAUUGAUGUUACGUUUAUAGGUGAUAUUGAAUCUACAGUUACAUUUUUAAAACUUUGAUGGUGGUGGUUACGUUGCAAACAAUAUAACCCGAAUAUCUAUGAAUUUGAUAUGAUAUUCAAUCAUAAACUAACUAAAAAGAAUUAGGUGAUUGUUCUUUGUAUAAAAGUAAUCGAAUGUUGUUUCAUUUUUUGAGAUUAAAAUCAAAUACAAUAUUACACUUGAAUCAUAACUCCAUAUUGCAAAUAAAUACUGCUUUUGUAUGAGCAAAAGAAAAAACGAAAGCCACACGGCUGAAUAAACAGAAAAAAAAAAAAGGAGAGGACAGAAAAUUUGUUUCCCUACUUUUAGCAUGCAGAAUCAUAUGUAGAUCUAUGGUUUUAGUUAUAGGCAUCAGGGUUGGCCACAAGGUAGUUCUCAAUGAGCUUGAACAAACCAUGGGCCCUUUCUUUCCCAACCUUAACAUGCUCUUCCUUAAUCUCAAUAUCUCCAUUGGUGUGGUAGUGGCUAGUGCUUUUGAUGAUGGAACCGCUGCCGGAAGCCACCAACUUAGUCUCAUAAGAGAUCUUCUCAAUCUUAUCAGAAAUGACAUCUCCUUCAAUCAAACUGUAGUUGUAGACAAAGUUAUCCUUGUCAAUUCCAUCAACCUUGUGCUUCACAUAGCUGUAUUCACUUCCUUCACCAAAACUUAUCUUCUUGAUGGUUCCAACACCUCCAUCUCCCUCAAGAAUUUCAGCAGUUUUAACUGCUUGUGGAGCAAUCUUUGGGAUAAGGUUGUCAGCAUCAAGAACAAGAGCAUUGUACAACCUAGCAGGAGCGCAGACUGAGGCGAAUUCAGUUUCAUAUGUGAAGACACCCAUGGUGAUGAUUGAGAGCUUAGAAACUGAUCAAAGUAAGAAUGAAAUGUGAAGGAAGAAAAGAGAAAUUGAUAAUGAAGGUAUUUGAUGGUGGAAGAUAUGGAGGUGGUAUUUAUAGGUUAUUGGUGAGGGGCUGUUGUGUAAUGUGAACCCCUAUGGAUAGAGAAAAUUGGACAGUAUUUAGUUUCCCAUUGUGAACAUUUUAUUCAACGAAAGGCACCUCUAGAAGUUGAUUUUGUAUAUUCCAACUUAAUACAACUAGCUGGUGUGCUAAUUAAUAAUGUGGAAUUUUUUUAAUAGAAUGUUCUAACACGAGAUGAUCGGAAUAUUACAGCAGAGCUGGUGUGUUAAUUCUGUUGACUACUGACUCAAUAAUAUCUUUUUGGACUAGAAUAAAUCUAAGUUCCCUUUAUGAUUCAUUUCUUAUCUGAAGUUCUGAACUCUUUGAUCAACAUAAGGACUCCGAUGAAACUACAAUGUUGCUCGUUCCCAAGUGUUUUAUUCAAAUAGGGUCGCAUGAUUGGUUUAGAAUGUCGUCACAUUAGUGUUUCUGAAACUUCGACAUAAUAUUAAUUAAGAGCGGACUUAUUUGAAAGAGCCCGAAUAUUAGUAAGCAACCAGUCAAGUUAAUAUUUGUACAUUAUUUAAUCGACUCUAUGGCGCGAAUUUAGUUCCAUUGUACACAUGCAUGCUUAUUUCUUCUCAAGUGAGCCCAUCCUAACCCUACUCUUCUCCAACACACCCCCCAAAGUCUCUCUUUUCCGACGACGCCACCUGAAAUCGUUCUCUUCGACAACAACAUUUGUUCGAAGAUGAACGGUCAUGGGAGAGGAGAGAACGACAUCGAGAUGAGAGUAAUGGGAGUCAGAUGUUUGGUUACGUAGUUAAGGAUGUUUGGUUACAGGACUAGUGUGUAUAUCAAAUUGUUUAAAAUUGGCACAUAUUUGUAUCUUAUUAGGUCACUUAAGAGAGUGAAUAAAUUGAAUAUUUUCCGGUGAGUAUCCAAGUAUUAUCCUAUUAUUAAUUAGUUUUAUAGCAGAACUUCAAGUUCUUUCACCAUUUACAUUUUCAAAAGAUUUACAAGUAGUUUUGCUUUAAAAAAUAGAUGCAAAUUUAAAUUUGAGCCCACCAUCACUUUAUUAUCCCUCUUCCAGAAAAAAAAAAAAAAGAAAAGAGGAAAAACCAAACUUAUCUUUUGAUGUCCCUUUAAAUUUGCUCACUAAACUUUCCGACCAAAAGAAGCUCAAAACUUUAAGAAGGGCAACUUGUUCAAAGUAUUUCUGAAAGGUUCAUACCGAUCAUAAUUUGUGCCAACACUAUUACAGGUUGGAAUCAAGACUUUCAUUAAUAUUUCAUGAACAAUAUUACAAAAAUAUCAAUAUAUCUUUUAAUUUGAUUCCAAUUGUAACGUUUUAUUACUAUUUUUCUAUUAAUCAAAACAAAGCCAAAACAAAACAUUUGAACACAAACCACAAAUAUGAACAAGUUUUAAUUUAUUAAAAUGUUUUAAAAGAGUGACAUUUUAUAACCAAGGGCGAGAAAAACGCCAGAACAUACAAUAGUCCAAAGGGUAAGCUUCGACGGAGGGUCUCUGAAAAACCUUACUUGAAAAAGCCACUUGGGAAAAAUUCCAGUGAAAGAAAAGAGACCGAGCAAGCCAACAAAGACAACAACAGAACAUUUAAGUAGUUAUAGACUCCGAAAUUAAAAUAUCAACAAGCCAAGGAGGGCCUACAUCAGUCCAAAAAUCAAAGCAUUGUUCAUGAAGACCAUGUCACGCAAUCCGGUGCGCAGCCCCAUUCGCAGGUCUGGAAAUUGCCCACAGGACCAAGUAACGAUCCUGAGUUAGCUGUCGCACCACAACCACAUAGCUGUGCCUGUAGAUUAUCAACCAGUUUAUGCAAGUUCGUAAUGUACAGUUCUAUUGUUGUCCCUACUGCCUCACGACUAGUAUAUGCACUUCCAGAGGUUCAAUUUAGGAAUGACUUGACCUGCAAUUCAACAUUGGCUGCAAUGCGUCGACUUUUGAUUGGCAGUCAUUUUUCAUUGGCUUUUCACAUCUCCAAAUUUGGAAUAUUCAAUUGUAACAAAUAUUAUCCAAAUACACAGUCCUACUAUAUUAUCUUCUUCAGAUGCCCUUAUGUCCGCUACCCGUGACUAUGCCCGUUGUGAAUGUACAUAAAGUAUUAAUAGACAAUAUGAUUAGAGAUACUCCAACAAUACGUCAACAAAAGUCGGAUUAUUGAAAAGUCCAGUAAAUAUAACAGCACAGGACACAAAGUGUUAAGUUGGGGGAGAAUAUGAUCUCUAAAACACUAAUUACUUAGUGUUACGGUCUAAUAAUAUUCUUCUUUAAUUGUAAAUAAGAUAACUUAGGUUCGAACGUGUGAAUUACAAAUUUAACACCAAUUUAUUUUCUACACCCCUUAGUGUAAAAAUAUAUCUUUGUUUUAGAAAAUAUGAUGUGUGAUCUCUAAAGCACUAAUUGGUAAGCACAAGAAAAAAUUGAGGUUAGUCCAUCUCGUGGAGUAAUUGGCCAUUUCUUAUUCUAUGUCCAGAUGGUUCUUUCCUUGAUUACGAUACAAAAUUUCCUUGUACAAAAGUAAUGGUUCCCACGUCCACGAUGAAUAAAACCCAUUAAACAAUUAGGAGCUUGCGUAAACCUUUUGAUCCACCUUCUGCCUCAGCCUAUAAAUACCAAUACAUCUUCCUCACUUCUUCACAACUCAAAAUCUCCCAAUACAUCAUCUUUCUUUCUUAGACUUCCUCUUCGUCGAUUAUUUUCCCACUUCACAAACACAUCUCAGAAUCAUGGGUGUUUUCACAUACGAAUCCGAGUUCUCCUCCGUCAUCCCCCCCCCCACUAGGUUGUACAAUGUUUUUGUUCUUGAUGCUGACAACCUCAUCCCCAAGAUUGCACCACAGGCAGUGAAGAGCACUUGAGAUCCUUGAAGGAGAUGACGGCGUUGGAACCAUUAAGAAGAUCAACUUCGGUGAAGGUAGCACAUACAGAUAUGUGAAGCAUAGAAUUGAUGGAGUUGACAAGGACAACCUUGUGUACAAGUACAGUGUAAUUGAGGGAGAUGCUAUAUCCAAAACAAUUGAGAAAAUCUGCUACGAGACUAAGUUGGUGGCUUCCGGCAAUGGUUGCGUCAUCAAGAGCAUCAACCACUACCACACUAAGGGAGAUGUUAUGAUCAAGGAGGAGCAUGUUAAUGCUGGCAAAGAGAAGGCCUCCCACCUCUUCAAGCUGAUUGAAAACUACCUCUUGGAGCACCAGGAUGCCUACAACUAAACAUUGUCUGUUGCUGCAUUCAUGCGUUAUUCAGUCUCGUGUCAUCUUGCCUUCAAAUAUUGGCGUGGUUUUAAUCCGUUUUAUAUAUAUUUUUCCCUUCCAAAACAAUGUUUGGCUUGUACGUAAUUGAAGGUUUAGAUUGAAGAGUGACUGUUGUAUUUUCUUUCAUUUGUAAUAAACUCAAAAUUAAUGGAUCUGAUUAUUCCUGCAAGUUUUUUUUUAAUGAAAAUUUGUAUUUGCUAAUGUUAUGAUCCACUUUCCUAACUCUUUUAGUUUACUGAACACAUGAGAAGCGACAUUUCAAUUACCAGCAAAUCAUAAUAAUUGAAUAACAUUUGAAUCUCUAUUAGGGGUGGGCAAAUGAGUAGAGGAACCACAGAUCGGGGCGAGUACAGGCCGGGCCGGGCCUUUGUUUUUUACGGGGCGGGCCGGUUCCUAAACCUUAGAAAAACGAGCCCCGGACCGACCCGUUUCUAAUUAUAAUCAACAGUCGAAAUUGAAUGAUAACUUAUCAUGCAAUCUAAACCAUUAAUUUCUAACCUAGGGUUCCAGAAUUAGUUUUAGAUUUUCAGUCUCGCUCUCAAAGUCUCAAAAUCCCACCUCUCCACCAUCCCUCGAACCCCUACUCUGACGACAUUCAAGAGAACGCCCAUCACCGCCGCCGCAACCUACUCAACGGCACCACCACCACCCAUCCAGCCAUCAUCCGACCUUGACGACAUUCGUUACUUCGCCGGCUACCGUAAGUCUACUUCUCCGAAUUUUAUUUUUGUUGAUGCGGAGGAUUUGAUGAAUGCAUGAAUAAUAGGAUUUGAUUAGAGCCUAAAUCUUUAGGUGGGAGUAAUUUGGUGAAUGCAUGAACAUUUGGGUGAAGGAAUUGUGGAUCUGUUUGGAUAAUUUCUAUGUAUGGCUUUUCCCUAGAAUUAAGGCAAGAUCUAUGAUGAUUUCUCAAGUCCGAUGAAACUCUUGUUGUUUCUCAUUCUCUCUAUUUUCGGUUUUAUUUGUCGUCCUCGGAACAUUUGGGUGAAAGACUUGAGAAGCUUCAAAUAAUCAAUGUGUUUUAGCGCUAAGUACCAUUUCUGUGUUUCGUAAGACUGGAGGUCAUUAGAUUGUCCCUCCAUGCGCUCUGAUCACUCUUCGCAAGAGAGGGCUUUCCUCUGCUUCAUUGUGAUGGUUGUAUAUAUGUAAAUUAUGCUUAUUCUAGUUUUCAGAUUUGACUAUGUGUGUGUGUUGUGUGUGUAUGACGCUUGCUGUUUUCUUGUGCACAACACUUGUAUUUUCAGGAUGUCUUUGUGUAUUACAUAUUCAGAUUCUGUUUUGUGGUCCUUAAAUGAGGUUUUGCUUUUCACUUUUCAGUCAAUGAGGAAGUUUCAAUAGUGUUGGCCAUUCUGUUAUAAAUAUAAUAAGUAGGUCGGAUCAGAUUUUAGAACCUCAAUAGGCUAAGCUUAAUUUGUAUAUGAAUAUUGCAGAGGGAGAAGGAAGGAUAAGUUGUGGGUUUGGUAUGCCAUGGUCGAUUUAUAUAGAGGUCCUUCUGUGGUUGGAAUUGAACAGGUGUAUUACUUAAUCAUCCAGUAACUAAUUUUGGAUAAUGGAUGUUGUAAAUUGAAGUUGAAACUUUUCAACUUGCUCCAUUUCCCUUUUUGUUUUGUGGAAAUAGAAUGCAAGUUGCUUUCCUUGUCUGCAAACAAGUAGCUCACCAUUACCUGCCUACUUCAAUACCAUUAUCGAAUAAUUCUAGAUAUUUCUGAGUUUUUUAUUUAUUUGUUUCAUUGAAUUUUGGGUACGAUUGUUGGAAAAUAAGUUUUUGAAGAGAGUGUUGGAAAAUAAUUAAAUUAGGACACUGUUUUUUUUUCGUAAGUUAGGAAGUUGGCUUGUUUUUACGUUAGAGCUUUUUUGAUAUUUUAUGUACAUGUGUUUAAGAGGUUGCAGUCUGUUGCAUACUUGCUCCUUGACUGUAUUUAAGCUUGCCUCAAUUGUAUCACUUUUUUUUUCAUGGUCACGAGUGCUCCUUAACAGCUCGGUACAAAGAUAUCAUAUCCCAAGUUGGACACAUAUCCGCUGGUGAUUCGUCACUUAUAACAGCUCGGUACAAAGUUUCACUACCCCUACCUGUAACAUACUUAUAGCUUGUAGUUGUACUUACACCCGUUGCUAUUUAUGAACUUUUGUUUAAUAAUCUGUGCAAGUGUUGCAAUAUUGCUGCAAUCUGUGGUUUACAGUAUGUGUAAAUUGCAAUAAUCUCCUAUAACCAACAUAAUCUGCAGCAGUGAUCUUCCUUUUAUCAAAAGCCAACUUUAUCCGCAAGAAUUGUUAAGGUUGAACAUGUGCAGUUGUGCACCAGAAGAUGGCUGCAAUAUAUUAUAUAUGUCUAAUAGCUUUACAUUUUUGUAGGAUGAAUAUUGGGCUCCUCAAGAUUUCAAGAGGCUAUUAUCGAACGAUGUUUGAAUUUGUGCCGGUGUAAUGGUUGGAAUGUAAUGUUUGAAACUGAAUUCGUGCUGCUGUAAUUGUUUUUUCCCAAACAAAAAAAAAACAACUGGGAACUGUGGACCCGACCCGUUUCAAACGGGCUCGGUUCAGUUCAAUUCCUGUAAUGAAAUAUGAUGUAUUCGGCCCGACCUGGCCCGUUUCGUUUAAACUCCGGUUCCUUCAAAAUUAGGUCCAGCCCGUGCCCAACCCUAAUCUCUACCACAAAAGCAUAAAGUGAUGACAUGAAAACUCUGAUUUCGUUUUCCUUGUAAACCAUUUGGUUCAUACCAUAAAUACGCCCUUGAGUUAACACACCCAUGAUGAUGAUUUAAGAGCUUGUUUUUCCUCACCCUUAUGUGGCAUGACUCACCUCCAUCUGCGGUUCUUGCUUCUUGCAUUCAAAUUUUCUUAGCUUAUUUGAUUUUCGAUUUUUAAAUUAGUGUACAUCAUGCCAUACAGGAUAGGUCCGCUAUCCUAACGUGUGGUUUUAUUUUUAUAUCUAACAUAUUUCUUUUGGUGUUUCAAAGCUUGUUUUGCAAGUUUAUACCUUUUAGAGGGGGUUAGGCUCUAUGUUACUUCCUUCUUUUUCUUGUAUUUCUCGUUUUGCUUUCAAGAAGGGUCAAGUUUAUGUCCCUCUUUUCGUUUUGCUACUUUUCAGCUUAAAAUGAACCAUGACUUUGUAAAUAAACAGACUUACCAAACACAAAUUUGACUCAAAAUUUUUUUAUCUGUGCUUUUAUAAUAAUUUGAGCAGUACCAAACCUCGCCUUAAUUGUUUUUUUUUUCAUGAAUUUAGCGUUUUUUUUAACAAACGAUAUUAUCUACACUAAAGGGGUGAGAGAUCGGGCUAAGCCUCACAAUGGGCUAGCAAUAAUGCGGUUCAAAUUCGUCAUUGACGAGAGUCAAACCUAAGACCUCCCACUUAGAAGUGAAGAGGAAUACCACUGGACCGUAACACUAAGUGACAUUUAUUGUAUUUUUAGUUUGCCUAGAUUACUCUUUGGUACAAUUAUUUUUGGGGUUCAAACAUAAAAGAAAUUGAAAAGCAUUAGGUUUUGCAUAUCAUAACUAAUGUCUGAGACCUAACAAAUCAAUAAUGCAAAAAUUAUCGGACAUAAUGAACUAAAACAUGAAAAUAACAUACCGCACCAAAUUUACCAAACCUAAUGAACUAAAACAUGAAAAAUACAAACUAUACCAAAUUAAUCGUACCAAAUCUACCAAACCUAAUGAACUAAAACAUAUAACAUAUGAACCCGUACCAAAUUGAUCGUACCGAAUUUACCAGACCUAAUGAACUAAACAUAAAACAUAUGAAUCGUACCAAAUUGAUUGUACCGAAUUUAUGGGACUUCAACUAUAUAAUGUACCUAAUUGAAAUCACAACAUAAUAGACCUUACUGAAACUUCGGACCUAAACUAGUAUGUACCUAAUUGUUAUUUACAACACAUAACCAAACGUACCUAAUCAACCAACAGAACCAAACAAUGAAAUUCCCCACAUAGGCCUUUCAGUAAACACAUGUAUGCAUUGGUAAGUAAUCAUGUCUAUGCUGUGCACUCCACACAAUAUCAUUAUGAAAGCUUUCAAAAGUAUGGCAAUGAAACUGGUUAUAAAAUAUUUCAAAUUUGAAUAAUUAUAAUAAAAAAAAAGGUACGUUAUAGACAAAAAAGAUGAUGUUCUUGUAGAAAAUGAAGAUGGAUAUUACGUUUAUGGGUGAUAGUGAAUCUACCGUUACAUUUGUGAACACGAAAAAUUCCUGAAACGAAAGAAACAAGAACACAAAAUAAUAUUUGUAUUUGAUGAUUUUGGGUUACAAUCUCUCUCUAAUUUGAUCCUCUGAUUCGAUCUCUGUAAGGUGUUGAUUUGUGGAUGUGCGAUUGAUCCAAAGGGCCGUUGGGCUUAAUCUAAGGAUGAACGUUCAUCAAGGGCCGUGGGCUUGAUCUUGAAGGUGGAUUUGAGCGGAUCUUCAAGGAGCCGUUGGGGCUUGAUCUUAAGGAUGAGCGUUUCUUCAAGGGCCGUUGAGGCUUGAUCUUGAAUAACAGUAGUGAACGGAUCUUCAAGGGCUUUUGAGCUUGAUCUUGAAGAACAAUGAUUGACGGAUCUUCAAGGGCUUUUGGGCUUGAUCUUGAAUAACGGUGAUGAACGGACCUUCAAGGGCUUUUGGGCUUUGAUCUUGAAGGACGAUUGGAUGUGUGGAUUUGUUGACGUUUGUUGAUCCAAAGAGGCCGUUGAGGCUUGAUCUUAGGAUGAACGGAUGAUGAACGAUGAACAUUUUCUUCAAGGGCCGUCGGGGCUUGAUCUUGAAUUGGUGGAAGUUCUUCAAGGGCCUUUGGGGCUUGAUCUUGAAUUGGUGGAAGUUCUUCAAAGGGCCGUCAGGGCUUGAUUUUGAAGGUGGAUGAUUGUUGAUCCAAGGGCCGUCGGGGCUUAAUCUUGGAAGAACGAAGAGGGCUUUCUUGAUUCUUCGGGAACCUGGAUGCUUGAGAGCUUCGGAGUUUCAGAGCUUCAGAGCUUUAGAGCUUUAAGGUUUUGGUGUAAUAUGAAUUGGUUAUGAAUUCCCCUCCCAAAUGAAUGCAUUGGCUUCCUAUUUAUAGAAUUUUCCAAGGCCUAAUUUUGAAUAUAAUAUGCAGAUGAAAUAAAUCGCUUCUGCCAGGUGUUGACAUGUGUCCUAUUUGAUGACUUUUUUGAUUUAUUUUGAUUUUUCGUUUAGUCACACGCUACGUGUAAAAUUUAUGUGACACGUGAGCGUUGAAAUUGUAACUAUUGGUCAACAUUUAUUUCACCGAAAUUUCGAUGUCUACAAAUGCCCCCACUUCAAGGCGCGUCGUAUACAUGUGUUUAUCACGUGUAGGAGAUACGUUUUGAAGUCCCUUAGUGUAGAUGUUGAUCCAAGGGCUGUUGAGGCUUGAUCUUGAAUUAGAAGAUUUCUUCAAGGGCCAUUGAGGCUUAAUUUUGAAUUGGGCUUGAGAUUUCUUCAAGGGCCGUUGAGGUUUGAUCUUGAAUUGGGCUUGAGAUUUCUUCAAGGGCUGUUGAGGCUUGAUCUUGAAUUUUGUUUGAAAUUUCUUCAAGGGUCGUUGAGGCUUGAUCUUGAAGGUUGAAAUUGGACCACAAGGAGCUUCAUGUGGUAGAUGAUCUUUGGCUUUGGUAGUGGAUGAAUUGGCAGGUAUUUGUUUUUGCGCUUGUUGACUUUCCACAGCUUAUUCUUGAACUGGAUUUGAUUCAAGGGUGGUGGACGCUUGAUCUUGAAUCAGACUUGUGAUUUCCUCAAGGACCGUCGAGGCUUGAUCUUGAAUUUGGCUGGAAGCUUCUUUAAGGGCCAUUGAGGCUUGAUUCUUGAAGGUUGACUCGAACACAUGGCAAGCAGGCACGAGGUGAAGGUGAUGACUUGUUGCUUUGUUCAAUCUUUCUAAUUUACACCUGAGCAGUUUGGUCAACGGUAUGAUCUUCAAUAUUGAUGGGCUCUUCUUCCAGUUGGUGACUUGAUCUUUAAGGAUUUGAUUCAAGGAUGGUGAAUUGGCACGUGCUUUGUUGUGCUUGUCUCCACAUGCUUCAAUGUAUCAUUUUCACUUCCCUUAUCUGUUCCCCAGGCAGAUGUGGUAGACGAAGAGGAAGCAUAAGAUGUUGAAGAUGAGUAUUCGAGAGCACGGCUAGGUAAGCAAUCAGGAAGGGGUUCCAGGCGGAUAUGGCAGCUUCUUGAGUUCCUCAACUCAGACUCUUUCUGCUGAGUUGACUGUGCGGGCUGCAUUCUUCUCUGCUUGUUUCUUCUGCACGUUGUUACCACAUGCUGCAAGGUAUCAUUUUCACUUGCCUUAUCUGUUAUCCAGGCAAAUGUGGCAUCUUCUUUGGAAGUACAUCAGCAGCUGAAGACGAGUACUCGAGAGCAAUACCAGGUAAGCAACCAGGCAAAGGUUCCAGGUAGUCGAUUCCUUACCCGAGUUUGAGUGGAGGUUCUGGCAUAUUGCUUUCUUUAUCCUUGUCUUUGCAGGUAAGAACAAAGACAAAGGAAAUGACAGGGGGAAAGCAUGAUAUGAGAUACUCUUGCUUUCUACCCUGGUGAUAUGAGAUACUUUUGCUUUGGUAUCAUUUGUUUGCAGAGGUAUUCUAGGAGAGGAAGAAAACUGGGUAUUUCGAGAGGCUCUGCUGGGAGUGUACUCUCGGAAAUGAGGAAUGGUUGGGCAUUUUUGCAGGUCUGCCUUGCUAUGGACGGUGAAUGUCGACAUAUAUAGGAAUUUCCCAACAGCCAGUAGUGGCACUAUUCCUUUACUCUUGUCGGCAACCGUUGGGUAAUUGAAACAGUCAGAUUCACGCGUUUUCAACUUUGUCAGAAAUCUUUGACAAAGUUGCGCAUGAUUUCCGCAAAGUUGAGGUUGCAUGUGAAGGAUGGCGACAAAUCCUGAAAAGCCGGUCUUUUUUUUGAAAUUUGGAGAGUGGUGACUUUUCGAUCUUUGAAUCGGUGGCCUUGUUGCCUCUUCGAUCUCUGAACAAACGGCCCAGCUUUUGAAAUUCGGGGAUAAGGGCCUCUUUGGUUUCUGAACGACCACAUUGCCUCUUCGAUUUUUGAACAGGCCAUGUUGCCUCUUCUUUUUAUAGAGGCAUGAAUCGUGUUCAAAAACACAUUUAGAGAGUUGCUACCUGUUAGGAAUUUCCCUCAUUUUGUAUUUUCUAAGAAUUCGACUUACACGACCUCUUCUUCUUUCAUCAUUUUUGCAAAUGGCUUGCCCUUCUGAUCGUCGUCUUGAUUUGAAUGUUGGGGAAAAUGUUGAUAUAUCUUCUCUAGACAACAUAUGGUGCCCGUCCUUCUUAUCUGCCACCGGUCCUCUUACAGUUGGGGACUCUAUGAUGAAGAAUGACAUAACCGCUACGGUGGUAGCUAGAAAUCUUCUCACCCCUAAGGACAAUAGGAUCCUUUCCAAGCGGUUUGAUGAGCUGGCUGUUCAGGACUCUCUGGCUUUCAAUGUUCAGUGUGCGGGCUCUGUAUCAAAUAUGGACCAACGCCUUCUUGCUCGAACUCGUCAAGUCGAGUCACUGAUGGCUGAGUGGCGAGUCUUAAGUAAGAGAUUAGAGGGAUUAAGCAUGAAAACAGAGAGAUGCACAUGCUUGCCAAUAGCUACUCAACGAGCAUGAAAAGAAAGCUCGACCAGCUAUAGGAAUCUGAAGGUCGGAUUCAAAGUGACCAUCGGACGUUUGUGACUUUACUCCAAAGGCAUCUACUGUCUUCGUCCUCUAGAGCUAUACCAAGUGUUAAGGCUGCAAAUAAUCAACUUCUGGUGCCUCCUCCUUCUGGAGCUCCGACGAGUACUGAGGCGCCAUCUGAUCAACCUUUAUGAAGGCUUCCUCCUAUUUGCUUUUUUUUUUUUCAUGUAAAAUGUACAUUUAUGUAAAUUUUGAGAGAAAUCAAUAAAUGAGGCUUCUUUCAUUCAAUGUAUAUAUAUAUUUUUUGGUCGGUGCGCUUGGCAUCAUCAUUAUUUUUCUUCUUUUUGCCAAUUUGCAUGUCUCCUUUUUUUGCUUUCUGCACGCCAUCAUCCCUAAACAAAUGAUGGCUGUCAUUUUCCUUCUUUUUAUUAUUUAUUUAUUUCUUUUGGAUGGUGCCUGAUGCACCAAAAGCUUUAUAACUUUUUUUUUUAUUCUUUUUUUUUUUUUUUUUUUUUGCAUGGUGCUGUCCAUCAAGGUUCCACCAUUUUUUUUUCUUCUUUCCAGAUUGGUUUGUCUCCUUUCUUUUUUAUUCUCUUAUAUAUAUAUAUAUAUUCCCCACAUGGUGCAGGCAAUGGGCAGAAGAUGGAGCAGAGGGAGUAUGCAGAGCACGACACGGACGGAUGCACAAGCAGCAACUGCCGAUGAUCCUAUUGCUCAGGGAAGGUCAUGAGUAUGGUGAUGAAGUUGGAGGCUAGAGAAUGAAGAGCAAGCUGUCCCAAGAUCACCCGGAGAUCACUAGAGCUCCGAUGAGAUCUGAUCUGGGGUCGAGGGAGAUCAUCUUAUUGCUGCCGUUAGCAUUGAUCAACGGUUGGUGCUGCAUCGACAUGUUGCUGCCAUCGGCUGAGCAGGGAAGAAGUAGAGUACCUCUCAAGCUUUCUUCAUGGGUCUCGGUGAAUAAUCUGGCAGAGAGAACUGUGUAUUGCAGUCACGGGAGAAUGAUGCAGAGGAGAACGAGGACGAGUCUGAUGAUGCAGCAGAAGCCAUGGAGUAGGAGUGUUCUGUAUUUGGAGGAGUUGAUAGAGGCAAGGAUUCUCAACAGCCUACAUGAAGCAAAAGCUUUGCCUUCGCUCCGGAAUCGCAACCUUGGAGUACCAUCCUUCAUAUAAUUUAUGGCUCGUUCCAUCGAAAUGGUACCCGCUAUGAAGAGUUCAAAUGUCUCGUUUCCGAGGGGUGAGGACGUAGACGGAGCUCGCGGUCGCUUUGUCCUGUUGAGUUGUGGAGCGGUUGUGGCGACGUUGUCGCUGUUACGAUGGCUACCCUUUGCUUGCUGCUGUGGAGAAAGUCUGAGCGUUGCAUGCUGCAAGGGAUGAGUCUUGGUGUUAGAGCUUGACGUGCUGGAGCUUGACGUCCCAGAUAAGCGUGGUUGAUUCGAGCAUCAAGCCCAACUCGACGAUCAAUGACGGGGAGCUAAAAACGAAGAUGAAGCAGCAGCUUGUUCCUCCAUUUGACCAUGAGGGUGACGUGUGAACGGGCUGAAGCAUGAGACCUCUAAUGCUAGGCCCACUUCGACCGAGUCAUCCAUCCUUCCCUUUGGUACGGUGAAGGUGGAGAUGCUGGCGUUAGGUAGAAGGAGAGAUAGAUAGAGCUUGGGUCGCAGGGAGAAAAUUUGAAGCUCUGAGGUAUUGAAGAUGAUGACAGGGCCUGUGGCUUGAGGUGUAUGCGAACCAAGAGAGAAUUGGACUUGGGCUUUUGGGAGUUUGUAAGCUGAAGAGGAAGUGAGCUGUUGGGGAUGAAAAUGGUACUGUGCUCCAGAUGUGGGGUCCAAGAGAGGAAUGAGAGGUCUUGACAACUCGACGUGCACUCUAUGGCCCAUUUCAGUGCCUCAGCUGCUAUGGUUCGAAUGGGCUUCAUGCUGGGCCUGAUUCUCGGGUUAGGCGUUGAAGAAGAUUUUAAAUAAGGAUGGGAAAGGAGCAGAAGCAAGAUUGAUUCUUUUGGACCUCACAGAGACAGCAUCGUAGAGGCUAUGCCUUCUUCACGUGAAGCUCAAGCAGCAAUGCAAAUGAUAGCAACUGCUACAUAUAUAUAUAUAUAUAUAUAUAUAUAUAUAUAUAUAUAUAUUUUAAGAAACUGUAUUUUUUUUACAAAGAAAUUGUAAUAAAAUUGACUUUCAUCAAUCAAACCUUUAAUCAAACAUUUUUUUUUUAUUUUGAUGUGAUUGAACUCGAAAUUGAAUGCUCGAGCUACCUACGUCCCUUCCAAAAAAAGAGAUCAAGUCAAAACGUAGUUCAAAUGCUUUUUUUUUUUGGUGCCGUACGCAGUUUAUGCUCUUGCCGGCCAAGAGCGUUUGGUGCCAUUUGCAGUUUCCGCUCAUGCCGGCAAGGAGCUUUUGGUGUUGCCUUUUAUGCUCUUACAGACCAGGAGCUUAGUGCCAUGCAGUUUAGGCUCGUACGAGCGAUGAGCCUUGUUAGUUCGUUAAGCAAUCCGGGAGAGUCGUUCCUCGCAAUCUUCAUAGCAAUGAGCCUUGACUGAGUAGUUGAAGAAGUCUUCUGGGAAGAUGUCAUGCAUCGUGAUGGGGAUGGAUGAUCUUCAUGUCAAAGUUUCAUUAUCUCCAACACUUUCACAUUGUUCUGAAGUUUGACAAGAGCUGUUUUGCCCUCUUUCCCAUUGGUGAACUUGUGGAAGAGAUGGUUGCUUCCUGGAGAGGCGUUCAUCGCAAUCUUUAUAGCAAGGAGCCUUGACCGAGUAGCUGAAUAAUUUUCUGAGGAAAAAGUGAUCGCGCAUGGUCAAUCUUUGUGUCGAAAUUUCCUCAUCUUCAACACUUUCACAUCGCUUUGAAGAUUGGCAAAAGCUGCUUUGCCCCCUUUUCGAUUGGUGCACUUAUGGAGAAGACAUAUGCUUCGUGUGCAGUUUCUUCGGAAUGACAUGAGUCUAUCCUUCAACUUCACUCGGUUUGACUGGCAUGGUUUUGGAGCAUGCUCCCAGCGAUUGAGAUGAAGAUUUUAAGUUGACAGAGCCAGAAGUGACGUCUUCUUCCAGGAUUUCGUCUUCUUUGUCUUCUUGGGCCUCCUAUGUAGUGAUGUCAUUUUGGGUUUGUUAGUAUGAAGAUUGGCCGGUGUAGAUAAUGGUGCGCCUCCUUACCUUCAGUGGUUCUUUUAUGUCGACUUCCAAAGUUGCUUGGCGCUUCAUCCUUGAAGGAAUCAAGCUUUGAACAUCGUCUUUUCCUGCUAGGUUGUCGAGCUUUUCUCCCUUUGGCGUUGUCUUUCUGUUUCUAGAAGGCUUCUUAGUUUCUUCAAGUCUGUCCAAAGCCGACCGUUGCGGAGGAGAUCUAGCUGUGCCGCUUUGUUUUUUGGGUUUUGAUAACUUUUCAAAGACAGAUCUUUACGGUGUUGGCGUCUUAAGCCUUUUGAAGACGGAAGUUCGGCCUCGACCACUGAUGCGAUCAAGUGCCGAAAUUCUAGGUUUUGAAUGAUUCAGCCUUUCGAAGACUGAAGUUCGAAUGGCAGGUUUAGGCUCCACUUUUGGCCUUGUGGCUUGUGGUCUUGGCUUCCUUAUUUUUCUGUAGGUCGUCGAUGUCCACCCUUUCUUAUCACCAGUAGAUGCAUCUUGGUUGCUUACCCCUAGUGAUGGUUGUGUAGGAGGUGCCGUGUGACUUGAACAUUAACGGGAAUGGUCAUGCAUGCUUCGGAGAUGCACAGGAUCGAGUGAUCCAAACACGAUAGUAGUAGUGUGUGCCGCAACCGUGUCUUCGAGGUCAAGCUCGAUUUUCCCUUGUUGUGCUAGCUUCAGGAUGAGAUCUUUCAGUACAAAACACUUUUCCGUUGGAUGACUGAUGAAACGAUGGAAUUUACAGUACCUUGGACUAUCGGUAUGAUUCAUCUCUUCUGGCCGUCUACACUCAAGCAAACUGAUCACCUUCUUUUCCAACAAGUCUUCUAACAUGGCAGCCACAUCAGAGUCGGGGAAUGGAUAAGUUUUCUCUUCAAGCUCCUUCAAAGUGCGUCUACGCAUCUCUUGAUCACGAAAAGCUUCGGUUUGAAUCGCCUUGCCUCAUGUAGAGACUUUGAUGGGAGUUGUGUUGACCGUCAUGGCAUCUUCAGGGCAUUAAUCUUAUUGAAGUAGGGCUUCGAGUAGAACAAUGAUGUAUGUGAGCUCCCUUUGUACUGUGCUUUGAUGGUGUUGGUGAUCAUCUCUUGCAGCUGCUGGAUAGAAAGAGAUCCCAUGAGUGCCGCUGCUUGGUCUGGCUCCGGCUUCACAUCGAUCUCCUCCACCGGAGGCUCCUCUUCUUCGCCAGCUCCUCUCUUUAGUGGAUCAUCCUCUGGGUCGAGGUUCUCGCUGUUCUGUGGCUCCAGUCGGUUGACGAGUGCAGCGAUUUGCAAGUCUUUUUCUUCCACAAUCCGUGUUAGCCUUGCGAUCGCUUCAUUCAUUUGAGCCAGUUGUUCUUCAAUUGAGGUAACGCUGAUGGUCAUGACUUAUACAACCAAUAGACAUGACUUUCCUUUAAACAUCCAGAAUGCUAACGAAGAGCGUCGUUGGCUACUUUGGGAUGUCAUCUUGUGUGCCUCAGCAGCAUGCUUCCAUGCCCCUAGCGAGGUCAGGUUGAUGACAAACUCGCGCCUUUGAUGCUCCCCUUGCUCCUUUAGCAGCACCAACUUUGAAGUGGCAUGUUAAGGAGCGGUUGUGGCGCCAAUGGAUUGUCCGUUCGCGGCAGAAGUGCUCAAGAUCCUUCCCUUAGUGGUUGCGAGAACAGCUUGUCCCUUACUUGAUGCCAUUGACUUUGAGGCGUGUUUGGAUUCCUUGAACGAAGAAAGAGAUAAGAGGUAGAUAUGGUCCCACUGGGCGUGCCAAAUUUGUGAACACGAAAAAUUCCUGAAACGAAAGAAACAAGAACACGUGCACAAAAUAAUAUUUGUAUUUGAUGAUUUUGGGUUACAAUCUCUCUCUAAUUUGAUCCUCUGAUUCGAUCUCCGUAAGGUGUUCAUUUGUGGAUGUGCGAUUGAUCCAAAUGGCCGUUGGGCUUGAUCUAAGGAUGAACGUUCUUCAAUGGCCGUUGGCUUGAUCUUGAAGGUGGAUUUGUGCGGAUCUUCAAGGAGCCAUUGGGGCUUGAUCUUAAGGAUGAGCGUUUCUUCAAGGGCCGUUGAGGCUUGAUCUUGAAUAACGGUGAUGAACGGAUCUUCAAGGGCUUUUGGGCUUGAUCUUGAAGAACAAUGAUUGACGGAUCUUCAAGGGCUUUUGGGCUUGAUCUUGAAUAACGGUGAUGAACGGACCUUCAAAGGCUUUUGGGCUUUGAUCUUGAAGGACGGUUGGAUGUGUGGAUUUGUCGACGUUUGUUGAUCCAAAGGGGCCGUUGGGGCUUGAUCUUAGGAUGAACGGAUGAUGAACGAUGAACACUUUCUUCAAGGGCCGUCGGGGCUUGAUCUUGAAUUGGUGGAAGUUCUUCAAGGGCCUUUGGGGCUUGAUCUUGAAUUGGUGGAAGUUCUUCAAAGGGCCGUCGGGGCUUAAUUUUGAAGGUAGAUGAUUGUUGAUCCAAGGGCCGUCAGGGCUUGAUCUUGGAAGAACGAAUAGGGCUUUCUUGAUUCUUCGAGAACCUGGAUGCUUGAGAGCUUCGGAGUUUCAGAGCUUCAGAGCUUCAGAGCUUCAGAGCUUCAAGGUUUUGGUGUAAUAUGAAUUGGUUAUGAAUUCCCCUCCCAAAUGAAUGCAUUGGCUUCCUAUUUAUAGAAUUUUCCAAGGCCUAAUUUUGAAUAUAAUAUGCAGAUGAAAUAAAUCAUUUCUGCCAGGUGUUGACAUGUGUCCUAUUUGAUGACUUUUUUGAUUUAUUUUGAUUUUUUAUUUAGUCACACGCUACGUGUAAAAUUUAUGUGACACGUGAGCGUUGAAAUUGUAACUAUUGGUCAACAUUUAUUUCACCGAAAUUUCGAUGUCUACAACAUUUUUAAAAACUUUGAUGGUGGAGGUUACAUUGCAAACAAUGAAUAUGGCAUUCUUAGCAGUAAAAUCUGUGGUUUUGUUAUAAGUAACAUGUUAUGUUGCAUUAAAAUAAAACCCAUAUUUUCCAUCCAUAGUGUAAAUAUUAGUAAUAUCAUCUCAUUAAAGCCUUUAUCUCUAAAAGCCUUAUUUUACAUAUUGUAUAUUGCAUAUACUGUUCAAUAUAUAUAUAUAUAGCAUGUUCAUGCACACACAAUUGAUAUGUCCAAAUUUCGAAUAUGCAAGUUAUGUUAUAAUAUGCUACAUUGUUAUGUUGAAUUGUGUGAGUCAAAGGAAAACAAACAAAAAAAAUAGAAACACGAACUAGGGUUUUAAAACCCUAAAUCGAAGAAAAUAAUGAGAAAAUUGUGGGAAGGGUUCCUCAACUUUAAUUCAAUUGGAGUAAUGGUUCUUCAACUAAAAUCCAUAACCAUUGGUCCCUUAACUCAUCAAAAAAUACAGCUAUGAUCAUUUUCAUCAACUCCAUCAAAAUUCCGUUAAAAUGAGUUAUAAGGACUAUGCUAUAAUUAGAUUGAAGUUGAGGGAUCACUGUUCCAAUUAGGUUAAAGUAUGUAUCAUUUCUCCAAUUAAGUUGAAGUUAAGGGACUAUUGCUACAAUUUUUCUCAUUUGGUUUUACAUAUUUGUCUCUUGAUUCAGCCUUACAUGCAUAUCACUUGACUCAUUUUUCACAGAACUUCUAACGAAGAUGAAAAUGACCAUAGUUGUAUGUUUUGAUAAGUUAAGGGACUAGUGGUCAUGAAUUUUUAGUUGAUGAAUCACUACUGCAAUUAUAUUAAAGAUGAAAGACUAUUGUUAUAAUUUCCUCAAAAAACAUUAAAAAAAAGAGAAAAUCGCAGCUGAGCCGUGGCUUGAAUAUGCACCAUCCGUGCCACAACGUCGAGCCGAGCCUGCACUCUAGCCUAUGCUCCAAAACGGCACCCUGCAGCCCCAUGGGCUUGCUAAACUCACUGAACCUAAAUCCAGUUUUUUUGGGCUUCUUCUCCCUGCCAGGCCUGCUGCUGACACCUCGCUCGGGUCAACCCAGCUAUGCUGGGCUUCAGCUCCUGCUGGGCUGCCUUCUUCUCGGCUCAAGGCCCGCGCAGGGCCCCCUUUUUUAACUGCAAAGCCAGCAGCAUGGGUGUUCCAUUUCUCCGGCCAGGCCAAAUUUUUGGCCUGUUCUGCUUCCAGCCUGGAACCGACUAAGUUGGGGUGCCCACGGCUAAGCUCAUUUUUGAGCUCUAUUUCUCACUAAUUUGGCCCGCAAUCAUUCAAACCCAAUAUAACCCGAACAUCUAUGAAUUUGAUAUGAUAUUCAAUCAUAAACUAAGUAAAAAGAAUUUGAUAUGAUAUUCAAUCAUAAACUAAGUAAACUUAUCAUAAACUAAGUAUAAAAGUAAUCGAAUGCUGUUUCAUUUAUUAAGAUUAAAAUCAAAUACAAUAUUACACUUGAAUCAUAACUCCAAAUUGCGAAUAAAAAUUGCUUCUAUAUGAGCAAAAGAAAAAAUCAAAAGCCACACCACUGAAUAAAUAGAAAAAAAAGGAGAGGACACAACAUUUGUUUCCCCACUGCUUAGCAUGCAGAAUCAUAUAUAGAUCGAUGGUUUUAGUUAUAGGCAUCAGGGUUGGCCACAAGGUAGUUCUCAAUGAGCUUGAACAAACCAUGGGCCCUUUCUUUCCCAGCCUUAACAUGCUCUUCUUUGAUCUCAACAUCUCCCUUAGUGUGGUAAUGGCUGGUGCUCUUGAUGACAGAACCGCUGCCGGAAGCCACCAACUUAGUCUCAUAAGAGAUCUUCUCAAUCUUGUCAGAAAUGACAUCUCCUUCAAUCAAACUGUACUUGUAGACAAAGUUAUCUUUGUCAAUUCCAUCAACCUUGUGCUUCACAUAGCUGUAUUCACUUCCUUCACCAAAGCUAAUCUUCUUGAUGGUUCCAACACCUCCAUCUCCCUCAAGAAUUUCAGCAGUUUUAACUGCUUGUGGAGCAAUCUUUGGGAUGAGGUUGUCAGCAUCAAGAACAAGAGCAUUGUACAACCUAGCAGGAGUGCAGACUGAGGCGAAUUCAGUUUCAUAUGUGAAGACACCCAUGGUGAUGAUUGAGAGCUUAGAAAAUAAUCAAAAUAAGAAUGAAAUGUGAAGGAAGAAAAGAGAAAUUGAUAAGGAAGGUAUUUGAUGGUGGAAGAUAUGGAGGUGGUAUUUAUAGGUUAUUGGUGAGGGGCUGUUGUGUAAUAUGGACCCCUAUGGAUAGAGAAAUUUGGACAGUAUUUAGUUUCCCAUUGGUGGUUGUUUCCAAUGUGAACAUUUUAGUCAAAGAUAGGCACCUCUAGAAGGUUAUUUUGUAUAUUCCAACUUAAUAUUACAGCAGAGCUGGUGUGCUAGGUCUGCUGUCUACUAAUUCAAUAAUAUCUUUAUGGACUCGAAUAAAUCUAAGUUGCCUUUUUUAUUCAUUACUUAUCUGAACUCUUUGAUCAGCAUAAGGACUCCUAUGAAACUACAAUGUUACUCGUUCCCUAGCGUUUUAAUGCGAAUAUCGUCACAUUAAUGUAUUUAAGCUUUGACAUAAUAUUUGAGCGGUUUGUUUGAAUGAGCCUAAAUAGUGAUAAGCAACCAGUCGAGUUAAUUUUUGUACGUUAUUUAAUCGACUCUAUGCCACGAAUUUAGUUCCAUUGUACACAUGCAUGCUUGUUUGUUCUUAUUUGUCACAUCAAAUGAUACCUUAAUGUAGUCAAAUAUGUGCUCUCUCUAGUAUUUUCCAUCUACUAAAGGUAAUGAUCUCACUUUUAACUCUACAGGUAUAUAUGGACUUCAUAUAGCAGUAAAAAGUAACAGUACUCUUUCAAUGCAUUAGAAAUUAUAUGACUUUUGACUGAAUUUUCUGAUGCAUAGGAGAUAGCUUAAAUCUAAAGGAGGAGGAAAAAAAGACAUCAUAUCUUUUCCCCGGCGAAUCCAACCCGACUCAUUUCUUCUCCCAAAUCCUAACCUCAUUCUUCUCCAACAAGCCCACCCCCAAAGUCUCUUUUCUCUCGCGACGCCACCUAAAAUCGUUCUCUUCGACAACGGCGUCGGUUCGAAGAUGAACAAUCAUGGAAGAGGAAAGAAUGACAGAGCUAUGAGAGAAAUGGAGUCAGAUGUUUGGUUAUAGAAAUAGUGUGUAUAUCAGAUUAUUUUAAAUUGACACAUGUUUGUAUCUUGUUGGGCCACUUAAGAGAGCGAGUAAAUUGGACACUCCCCGGUUAGUAUCCAAAUAUUAUACUAUUAGUAAUUAGUUUUAUAGCAAAACUUUAAGUUCUUUCACUAUUUACAUUUUGAAAAGAUUUACAUGUAGUUUUACUCUGAAGAAUAGAUGCAAAUUUAAAUUUGGGCUCACCAUCACUUGAUUAUCCCUUUUCAAGAUAUAAUAAAGAAAGGGUUUUUAUGGCAAAUUAUUUUUGAAAUUGAAAAUCAAUUAAUAUAGUUCAUGAAAAUAGGUAUUGCAAAUCAAUGUGGUAUUUCUAUCAUAAUUCUAUUAAAAAUUCUGUUAAGUGUUGAUGUAGUACAUAAAUGGGUCCCAUAAGUCUUUUUUUCUUCUCAUAAAUGGUCCUUGAAAUUGACCCGCGACAUCAAAAUGGUCCCUAAAAUUGACCUGCAACCUCAAAAAGGUCUCUGAAAUUGAAAAUCGAUCAAUGUAGUCCCUUAAGUGUCCCAAAUGACACACCCCGUCCCGAAGGAGGGCGUGCUGGCCGUCACGUGAGAGUGACGUAACCAUUUACACAGUUCGGAAGCUUUAAAAAAAAUUCCAAUUACUAAGAUAACACACCCGAGGGUGAGUCCUACUUUUGUGAAUUCUGUCAGAACACCGUUGGAUUCCUCGUGGCCACCAAAGCUCUGCUAACUUGAACCUGGAGGGGCGCAAAACAAAAUUGAGUGGGUCAGUAAAACAAAGUUUUUCGAAGACUUUUCAUUUAAAACAUUUAUAACCCCUCACCGUAAAACCUGUAUACUUUCCCAGAAAAUAGCAUAUAUAUAACAUAUAUAUAAGCAAAAAGCUCAAAUCUCAAACCUUUAACACUUUUCAGAAAUAUAUAUAUAUAUAUAUAUAUAGAUAUAUAACCAUAUGAAAUCUCAAAGCUUGAAUCCCAAAUCUUUAACAUUUUUCAAGAAAAACAUGUCAUGCCAUAAAUCAAAAUAUAAAUCAGGUGAAAUAAGGAAUCAAUCGGAGACCCUGCAGUUGGUCCUAUACGAUUAAUUCAAUAGCUCAAUAUCUCACUAAGCCGGAGUCACCACAGUGACCUAUACGGCCCUACUCUGCACAUCACUCGGAACUACGUAAGGUAGUCUAUACGAUGAAAGGUGUAAAAUACGCUCUAGUGCUUCUCUCAUCAUAUCAUCAGCGCGCAUAUCUAAGGUCACCCACCAGUCGGAACCCCUCUAAUGGUCUGUACGACUGGCAUGUCGGAACCCUCACAUGGUCUGUACGACAUCCACCUACUUGGAUCCAAGGCGAGCGUGCGGUGUGGUGAAUAAUAUAAGCACUAACACCUAGGGUGCAGAUUAUGAGCUCAAACAUCUCAACAACAACAAUUCAAUGAAUAAACGAACUCACCUGACUUGCCUGUGCCUCCACAGCACCAUGCAACAUGUAUGCAUCAUAUAUCAAUCAUAUAACUCAUAUGAAAUUCACAUUUUCCAAAUAAUUCUAUGCAUGGCAUUUUCAAAACAUAAUUUCGCAUAAAAGCAUUUUUUCUGGGAAAAAACAAUAGUAUAUAGGUAAUACGAAAACAAAACUGCCCACUCACCUGGAGUUCGCCCACAACUCCCUAGCACCGUACAUCAAGGCGUCAUGACGAUUAGCGCCUAGAACAACAAUCAAAUCCAACCUCAGAAAUUCUGCCGAUAGAAUACAUAACUAUAUAAGACACGUCACUACGUAGUUCGAUCCGGAUGAUCUGCAAUUCAGAUUUCAAAUCCGUAACUUCCAGAGGUCCACAAUAUACCUCUAGGACAACAUCCUAAAAUUUCAUUACCAUCCAACGGUCGGAUCUUCGUCAAUUUCCAAAACUAAGUGACGGUUAACAUUCUAUUUUAUGAACUUACAACUUCAAUUCCAGAAGAUCCGUAAAUCGGAUUCCCAAUCCGUAAGUUCCUAUAAUCCUCAAAUAUUACGUAUUACAACGUAUCAAAGUUUGAUGAUGAUCCAACGGUCGGAUCGUCAAUUCACAUUUUCAUCUAACCACGAAUCGUAACCAACUUAGGUUCAAUUAUUCAAUUUACGUCCAUCAAUUAUCAAAACAGAACCUAGAACCUUAAUCACAAGCUAAUAAUGACAUUGGCGGGCCAUUGGCCACGCGCCGCCGCGGGUGGCGGUUGGCCGCCCCCGGCUCGCCGGAAAAUUCAACUAUUUCAAAAAAUUACCAAAAUUUGCAGAUUUGAAGAUCUCAAUGAGUAGAACAACUUUCAUACCUGAGACCAAGGCCAAUUUGGCCUGGAAGUGCUUCAAUUUCACCAAAACCGUGAAGAACCCUAGAAUUUGGGUGUUUCCAAUUCGACCUUCAAACUUGUUCCAACGCCUCAAUUACCUCUUGGGCUUUGUUCUAGGUCCUAAAGGAAUGCUAAAGGUGUUAGUAAUUGAAAGAAAACAUUUCAAAAUUUGGAGAAUUUAAACAAAAGGGUCGCGGCACCCGUAGGGGGUGUUCUUCGCGAAAUCACAACGAAAUUCAAUGAUUCUUGGGGUGAAACGUAAAGAGGGAAGGCCUAGAUGAUGAUUAGGAGUGGUACCUUGACUCAAUUCGUCGGAAAUUUGGACGAAAUCCAUCGAAUUUGGGCGUGGGCACCGCCGGGUCGAAAACGACCCACGGGUUCUCCCCAACCCAUUUCCUCUUUUCCUCCGCUUCUCACCCUCUCUCCCUUCCUCCUUUCCCUGUUCCGAUUGGUCAGUUUCUUCCCCUCUCUGCCUCUGAUUCGCUCUCUCUCCUUCUUCUCCGAUUGGGCAGUUUUUGCCCAAUCUCUCUUCCUCUUUUCUGUUUUCUGGUUCUUCCCACGCACACACCCACACAAAACUUUCAUUUUUCUCAUCCCAGCCAUCCAUUUCAAAAUCCUUUAAUCUGGGCCAUCCAAAUUUUAAUAAAAGAAUUUCUAUAUUUUACUAAAAUUAUAAUUCCUUAAAAUUCCAAAUUUCAAACGUUAAUAACUUCUUCGAUAUAACUCCAAAUCACGAACCGUCUGCGCCCACGCGUCCGUAACGACGAGUACUACGAGGAUAUGUCAAGAAAACAAAUCUUAGAUGGCCCGACACAACGAUUAACCUCGAAUGAUGUGCGUGCCUCAAAGGGCAUUUUUGUAAAAUCCUUUAUUAAAACUUUAAAAAUUCUUAAAAUUAGGGACGGGCUGUCACACCAAAUCCAUGUAGUCCUUACAUCACAAUUCUGUCAAAAAUUUUGUUAUGUGCUAAUGUGACACAUAAAUGAAUCACACAAGUCUAAUUAAAUUAAAAAAAAAAUAUAUAUAUAUAUAGGUUUAAUAAUUUAAUAGUAAUAAAAAGUUGUGAACCCAAAAAUCCAAUCCUGCAAUCAUCUCCGAUCUCAGUCCACAUUCCUCUACCUCCACUUAUCUUUACGCACUUCGACACCCUUCACCGAAUUAAACCUGGAUUGAGAUCACCUUUGAUGAUGGCUUGGCUAAUUGGCAAUGACUU